rnacentral:lncRNA from 1 species
UAUUCUUCAAAAAUUCUCGAUUUUGUUAUUCACCACUCUUAGAAGGUUAAUAUUAAAAAUAUUUUUAACCUUUCAAUUAAGUUAUUUCAAAUAUAUGAUAUUAUUACUGUGAAAUUACUAUUUUGCCCUUUUAAAUAUAUCUUUUUUUGUCAUCAUCUUUUUUUAUUUGUCCUUAAGUUAGGGGCAAAAAAGUAUUUUAAUUUAGGGAUAAUUGCCUAUAUACCCCUCAAAACUUCAGAAAUAUCUCAUUUAUCCCUUUUUUCUUUCUAAUAUACCCCUCAUAUGUUCCUCUGUUAUUCCAAAAUGCCCCUGUAGUUAUCAUUCAUUAAGUUAAUUUGGGUUAAACGUGAGUUAAAUAUCUACUAGAGUUAAAAAAAUCAAAAUACCUCUUUUGUCCUUAACUUAAGGGUAAAUAAAAAAUAUUGGUGAUGGUAGAAAGGGUAUAUUUGAAAACACCAAAAAAUAAAAUAUUUUUUGUACCCCUAACUUAAGGGCAAAUAAAAAAUAUCGGUAAUGGUGGAAGAAUAUAUUUGAAAGAGCAAAAUAGUAAUUUCAUAUAGAUAACAGCUAUUGCUAAUAGUUCAUUAACAGAAUUUAACUUUAGAGGUGUAUUUGAAAUAGUUGGAACAUAAAAAAUAAUAGUUUCAAUAUUAGCCUUUUAAGAGAGAUAAAUCAGAAAGUUGGAAACUUUCCAGAAGUAUAUAAGCAAUUGCCCCUUUAAUUUUUACCUUUAUAAAUAUGCCUUUUUACUAUCAUCAACUUUUCUUACUUGUCUUUAAAUUAGGGAUAAAAAAAAUAUUUUGAUUUCUUUUUUACUCUAGUAGAAAUUUAACCCCGAUUUAGCACGAGAUUACUUAACUGGUGCUAAUAGCGGGGGUUAUUUUAGAAUAACGGAGAAAUAUACGAGGGUAUAUUUGAACCCAAAAAAAGUAGGGAUAUAUAAAAUAUUUUACAAGUUUUAAGGUGUAUAUUAGACAUUAGCCCUAAAUCUGAAUACCAUAUUUGCGUCAAUGCAUUUUCAGUCCAACUUCUGUAGUUAGUAAUUACAGAAAUAGAUAUAGCUACUGCAAUUAAAACUACACUCAAAUUAAUAGCAGUUCCAGACACAACAAUUGACAAAGACACUUGAUUUAGAAAAAGAUAAAAAUAAAAACAUCUUCAUACUAGUAAAUAGAAGAAAUGUAAUUGCAAUAGUUGCAAUUAUAUACAAUCAAAUAAAAUUGAAAAAAGAAACGCCUCUGUCCCGAUCUGCUCAGAGCGAAACAAUAAUUCAAAAAAAAAAUAAUAAAUAUUCAAUCAAUUCCGAAUCGUGAAGAAAACGGAAUGAGAGAUGGGAAACCCUUUUCGCUCCUGAAUUAACAAAAUAAUAUACUAAUAAAAAUAAAAAUAUCGAGAUAUUAGUAAUAUUUCUCCUGUACGAUUGAUUAGGAUUAGGAUCAGAAUUAAAUUUACUGUUGAAUUUAAUUUUCCCCAUUUAUUUUUCGCUCCAACGCUCCAACCUAACCCACUUAUGAACCGUUACUCGUCUCUAUAAAAACAUAAUAAAUUAUCGUACAUGAGUGUGUACUAAUUAUAUGGACAAUAUUCGCGCACGAAAAUUGAUGAACCAAUGAAAUGAGUCGGACGGUUCUGAUUGGUUCCAGCAUUGACUCUUCUCACCUAAUAAUAUAUAUAUAUACUGGGCAACUAAAUAAAGAAGGACCAAUAAGAUAUCAGUGGGUCCCACAUAUCUCUACCCAUUUAUCAUAAAUUUGUCUCAUCAAUAAUUUGUUUGAUUAUAUGCAAAUAAAAAUUAUAUUUAUAAAUUUGUAGAACGAAUAUAGUAUUAUUGUUUGGAAAGUAAUAUUACGAAAAAUUUUAUAUUAAAUUUUUUAACACUCUGUUUGCUACCAAAUUUAAAAUAGAAUGCAAUAGAAUUUUAUUUUAAUUUAAUAAAAAAUAAUAAAUUAUUUUAACCUCCUUAUGCUUUUAUUAUAUAAUAUUAAUUUUAAGAAGGGUGCUUUCAUGGUGGAAUCAAGCAGUGCCAAAAUAGAUUUUCUGAAUAACAGGAUUUGUUUUUUCUAAAUAAGCCAAUUAACUUUUAAUAAUUUACAAUAAAUAUUACCAAAAAAAUACACUCUAAACCUUUUUUUUUGAGAAAUAAACUUAACUAGAAAUAUGAAUAAAUUAGGAUUCGAACUUGGGUCUCGAGAACCAGCCACCAAGCCCUUUACCACUUGCUCUAGGAACAAUCAGUAAAAUGCACUCUAAACUAAAGUGUAUAUCUUAUACUUCACCAUCCAAAAUUGAAAUAACAUUGUAGAGCUUUUAAUACUAACAAAAUAAUAGUGAUAAAAAAAUUAGUAAGGCAAAAUUGGCCUUCGGAUUGAGGAAUGUAAUGUUUAUAUUCAUUGCACCGACCGUAACUAGUGUAGUUGACUAAGAGCUUAAAUAAUUGAUACUUAAAAGUUUCAAAUUCGAAACCUAAUUAUUUAUAUUUUUAAAUAAGUUUUAUUUCUAAAAAACUGAAUAAAGGGAAAAAAAAAAUUACAUUCAUUUAUUUAAUAUAAAUCAUUAAUUUAUGAGAAAUUCUCCUUGUAUACGGAAAAUGGGAGUGUAACUGUGUAAAUCACACCAAGAUCCUAAGAUUAGGGCUGGCAAACGAGCGAGCCGGCUCGCGUUCGACUAGUGUUCGGCUCGAUAUUCGGCUCGCUCGAGCUCGACUCGAAAUUAAAUGAGCCGAGCUUGAACAAAAUAAAAGGCUCGAAAUUCAUUUCAAGCCGAGCUUGAGUAUUACUCGGCUCGUUCGAAUUAGGCUCGAAAAGCUCGAAAAGCUCGAAUAUAUAUAUAUAUAUAUAUAUAGGCCGGGGCUACUAUACUCUUAUGAGUAUAGACCCCCUUGUACUCAUAAAUUUUUAACCGUUGAUUGAUGGGAUGUGUGGUUAGGAUGAUGGUAGUCCCCACUUAGAAUGAUAGUGGUCCCCUAGGGUUGAGUGGGUAGUUGGUUAAAUAGUAUGAUCUAACGGAUGAAAAUGAUUAAUAGAAUAAAUUUAAGGGUCGAAAACUUAUGAGUAUAAAGGAGCCAAUACUCAUAAAAGUAUAGUAGCCGGACUCUAUAUAUAUAUAUAUAUAUAUAUAAUAUUUAUAAAUAUAAUGUAUUUUAAUUAUAUAUAGGCUUUAAUUUAAUUUGGGCCAUUAUUGUUGGCCCAUAAAAUAAACCCAACAAGUACAAACGUACAAUUGAGCCAAACUCUAAAUUUACAUAACACACUCUCUCUUUCAGACUUUCACUGUUACACAUAAUCCUAAAACAUGAUAACAUUCAAAUUUUCAAAUCCUUACUUUUUUUCCUCUCUCUCUCUCUCUCUCUCUCUCUCUCUCUCGGACCCUCAUCGAGUCAGGAAGUCACCCUAACUCACAUUUCUUAUAAUUAUUUUGUAUUUUGAACUAUUGGACAUGUUGCAUCAAAUUGUAGGUAAUGUUCUAUAAAAAUUAAUCUAUUGAUUAUAUAAUGUCGAGAAUUUCAAUCGGCUCGUUUAGAGCUCGAGCUCAGCUUGACUCGAAAUUAGGCUCGCUCAAGCUCGGCUCGAAUUAAUUUCAAGUCGAGCUUGAGCCUAGAUUUAGGCUCGAAAUUAAUUUCAAGCCGAAUUUGAGCUGACAUAAGCUCGCUCAAGCUCGGCUCGUUUCCACCCCUACCUAAGAUUCACAAAAAUUCAAAUAAUUUUAAGUAAAAAUAAAAAGUUGAUAUAAUAAGUAAAAAAAUAACGAACUCGAUGGAGUGGAGGGAAAAUGCACAUCCUACUUUGGGAUAUAUCAGUACUAAUUCUCUUAAUUUAUCAUAAAUUCACACUUAAAUUUUAGGAAAAACUUUAAAUACCAUUCAUGUGAUUUUGCAUUUUUUAUUUUAGCACCAUAUUAUUUAAAGUGUAUUAAAUUAGUACCCCUUGUUUUAUUUUUCUUCUUUUAUUAUCCCCUUUAUUAAUUAUUUUUCAUUAAAUUAGCGACAAAGUUAAAACUAAAAAGUUACUAAAGUGAAUAGUUGAUAAACCUAGAUAGGAUAUCUAAAGUUUUUUGUAUAUAAUUUAACAUAAUACUAACGGAGGAGUUGACAAAAAAAAAAAAAAAUAAAUAAAAUACUAAAUUAUAUAUUUUAAAUUAUGGAGUACUAAUGUGAGAAAUCACUAAACCGUAAGAUUCCUUUCCGGUGCUCUACAUAGGGGGUAGGUGGGGAGUAAUAUAACGCAAAAAUAGAGGGGUCAAAUUCUCAAAAUAAUAAAAUUUUGGAAAAACUUCAGAAACCAUUCUUGUGGUUUCAUACUUUCUCACAUUAGUAUUCUAUAGUUUAAAAUAUAUCAAUUUAAUACCCUAUGAUUUUAUUUUUUUUAUUAUUGAUUCUACUAAUUUUUUUCGUUAAAUCAGUGACAAAUUUAAAACUAAAGAAUACUAAAGUGAAUAUCCGAUAAACCUAAGUGAGGUAUUUGAAGUUUUUUGUAUAUAAUUUAACGAAAUAUUGACGAAAAAGCUGAUAAAAAGAUAAAAAAAAAAUUACGGAACACCAACUUAAUACACUUUAAAUUAUAAGGUAUUACAGUGAGAAACUGGAAACUACGGGGAUGGUAUUUGAAGUUUACCCAAAAAUUUUUCGUUGUUUUUUUUUUUGGUUUUUGGCGUCUAUUACGGCAGUUGGUAGCAGCGAGAAAAGUAGGUGAGAGAGAGAGAGAGCGAGCGAGCGAGGCGAGCGAAGAAUCCGUAAUACUGACUUUUUUUUCUUUUUUUUCACGGAUACAAAAAGCAAAACCCAAAUCCCAAUUCCCACCCAUCUCUUUCUCUCUCUCUCUCUUCCCAAGAUCUCGGCCUCGUGUCAGGUUCAUUCCCUCUCUCUCUCUCUCUCUCUCUCUCUCUCUAAUGAUCUUUACAUCUUACUUUAUAAUUGAUUUUAGUUGAUUUGGAUUUAGUUUUCUUUUCUUUUCUUUUUUUUUCUAUUUUUUGUGUUUAAGUUUGAUGAUUUGAGUUGAGUUUGCAUCAAAGGUACGAGAUCCGUGAUUUUUCGUUUGUUUACAACAUUGUGCAGUUAAAUUUUCCUAUUUUUGGAAUCUGUUUGGAGCUGUUUUAUUUAUCAGAUUUAAGUAUCAGCAUAUUGAAUUUGUGGUAACUGCUGUGGAUUUUAUGAGUGGAUCCUGGGAAUCUUGAGAGGAAACUUUGGGUAUGAUUUUUUUUUUUUUUUUCCCUUUCUUAUGAAUCUGUUUGAAUUUGGGGUAAUUUAAAAAUGGAUUUAAGUUGAUCAUUUGUCAGAUUUCAGUACCAGCAUGUUGAAUUCUUGGUAAAUUUUGUGGAUCAACUGAGCUGAUUCCUUGGAAUCUCAAGUCAAAGGUUUUGGAAGUUAUAUACUUUGGGCAUGAUUUUUCCUAUUUUCUUGGUAGUUGGAUGGAUUAAAGUUGAUAAUUCAUGACUUUAGUACCAGCAUGUUGAAUUCUUGAUAUUUUUUAUGGAUUAUCUUACUAGAUUCCAAGGAAUCUUAUGUGUAACAGUUUGAUCUCAAGUAGAGAAAAGUACCAUUUUAGUACUAAUUGCAUUUGGAUUAGCAGUUAGCAUCAUCAAAACAUGUCGUGAUCUUGUUGUCCUAGGCGUCGUCGCAACCCUUUAGAAUGGCAUAACUUGUGUUGCUGUCUCCCACUUCUUUUUCUUUUUUCUUCACUGUAAUUCAGUGGAUCUGAUCCUGUUUGUGAUAAUAUGACGCAAAAUUGGUUUAACCAAAAUUUUCAGUCAGUGCCGUCGGCCAAACUUUAGCACUGUACUGUAAGCGCCGAUUCUUUGUUUCAGAGAUGCUGAGCUAAUUUGGCUUCUGGCCUUGUGCGAUUAUAUUGGGCAAUCUUGGAUAAAUUAGCAGCCCUUUAGCCAUUUAACAAGUAGAGAUCCACCGUAUUCAAAAGUUCUUCACAACCAUCCUAUUCUUUUGUAUAGCGCUUUUACCCAUCUAAACAAUGCUGACAAAGUUGAUCAAUCGUCCACUCUUGAAUUCUUCAUAUAUGCAUGCAAAUGAUUUUUGAAGUUCGCCGUUUGGGAUAACAGUGAUUUGGAGCUAACGCAAGCAGGGCCCGAUUGAGAGUUGGUUACACUUAAUGCUUGCCACAAAUAUAUAAUGAUCACUUCGAGUUACUUACUCUUUUUCCAUUGAAAACUCUAUCAACAGCAUGCUGAUGGUUCAGCACUACUGGAGUAAAAAGAUUUGCUUACUAUAAUUAUUACUUUGCUGCAGAGAGAGUGGCAUUGUUUUACUUAACUCUUUGUGAAACUGUGUUAUACCACUUUUUUUUUUUUUUUCCUUUUGAAAAUAUGUCUAGAAUGUUCUUGGCUGCAAGGUCCUUAUUGCUUUAAAAUAACCAUUUCUUUUCCAAUAUAUGCAGUGUACAAUCAUAAAAUUCGAAAGGAGUUGUGACAUCAACAACCAUGUCAACUGGAUCGUCUCCUUCGUCUAGAAGGAACAGUUUUAGGAGUGAAUCUUUUUCAGAUGAGAAAGACCUAGAGCUUCCACCAGAAUAUGGGUGCCUCUCCAUUGUUGUACUAGGUGCUUCGGGAGACUUGGCCAAGAAAAAGACAUUCCCAGCUCUUUUCAACCUUUUUCGACAGGUAUCUUUACUUCAGUGGUGUCCUGUGAUCAUUAUUUCAAUACCCACUGUUUAUGCAUCUGACUCAUUGAGGUAUUGACAGGGAUUUUUACAACCCAAUGAAGUACACAUUUUUGGAUAUGCCAGAUCAAAGCUUUCAGAUGAUGACUUAAGAGAACGUAUCCGUGGGUAAGACUUGCUUGCUCAAAAGUGCAUAGAAUGAUUUGCUCUAUAUUUGACUUAAUCUAAGAGCGUGUGUGACACCCCAAGGCUUGAGAAUAGUUCCACAUCGGUUAGCUAUGGCUAGGUAUAGGACUAUAGGGCAUGUAAGUCUGAAUAAGCUAGACCCAAUAAUUGGACUAUAGUAUUUUGGACUACUAGAUUGGGCCUAACAAGUUAUCGGGUCUAGCAUACCUAGUUAAUCGAGCCGCGGGCUCAGUGAUGGGUGACCCCCCUAGGAAGUAGGUGUGAUAGUUUGGUAUCGGAGUGGGUCAGCCAGCUGGAAGUGUGAGACGGAGUCUCACAUAGCCUAACAAUUGUGGGCUGUGUAUACAAUUGUGCAAUUGAGCCUGAUGAGAAUGUUAGGACUUAAAGGGGAGAGCGUGUGACACCCCAAGAUUUGAGAAUAGUCCUACAUUAGGUAGCUAUGGCUAGGCUUGGGGUAUAUAAGCCUGAAUAGGUUAGAGUUAAUAACUAGGCUAUAGCAUUUUUGGGCUAGUGAAUUGGGCCCAACAAGUUAUUGGGCUUAGAGAACCUAGUUAAUCAAGCUGUGGGCUCAGUGAUGGGUGACUCCCUGGGAAGCUGGUCAUGAUAGCAUGAAACAUUGUAAUUAUAAGAUUCAUAAUUCAAGCAAUGGUUUUAAGAUCCAUCAAUGCUGUGAAAUCAAGCAUGACUAAUUGUUUUCUAAAUGUUGGGCAGAUACCUAAGUCUAGGAAAAGGAGGUUCAUCUGAACAUGCAGAGGAUUUAUCAAAAUUUUUGCAACUAGUAAGUUGUGUUGAUCUCUUUUAACUGCUGAUAUUUUCCAAGUUUGGAACAUAAAAUGCUUUUUUUUUUUCCAGAUAAAAUAUGUUAGUGGUUCUUACGACAGUGAAGAUGGGUUUCUAUUAUUGAAUAAAGAAAUUUCUGAGCAUGAAAUAGCAAAAAACAGCCAACCAGGAAGCUCUCGCAGGCUGUUUUAUCUUGCAUUGCCUCCGUCAGUUUACCCUUCUGUUUGCAAAAUGAUCAGAAAAUACUGCAUGAAUCAAUGUAAGUGUUUUUCUUUUUUCCAGUUUCAUAUUAUGGAUAAUUAUCCAAGCAGUUCCUAGUGCAAAUUAGCAAACACCAUAAACAUGUAAUAACAUCGUAGUUACUUUAUAUGUCCUUAUAAAUGCCUAUAACGUGAUGAAUUUGGUCAAGCUUCUUAAUGGCAAUAUAAGAUUUUGAAGUGUUCCAUAAUGUGCAAACUAAUAUGACCAGUUAGAAUAUUCUAAUGGGGAGAAUCAGUCGGACUGGACUAAAAUUGAUUAGUUUGAUGCUGCCCUAAUGAUAGGAAUCUGUAAAUUCUCUGUAUGGUGUAGAAUCUAGAAUUGUCUUGUCCUGAAUUUUUUCAAUUCUGUUCCUUGAUAUCCAUUUUUCCACUUAUGGAGUAUCCUUCCUGCUAUCAGGAGACUGUUCAUUCCACUGAUUUGUAAUAUUCUAGGAAUCCUGUACAUUUUCUUUGAAAACACAAAUCUCUUGCACCUCCCUACCCAACUGACAUGGUGGCAAUCCUGCCAUUCCAUAUAUAAAAUAGAGAGCAUUCCUGGAAUGCUACAAACCGGCAGAAGGAACGACUCUCUUUUUUUGUUUUUACUUCCACUUAUACACUGUUGCAUGAUAGUUGCAGGUUUGGAAAAUUGUGCUAUUCUCUUUGCCAUCUUUAGUUAAAGCUAUAGGCUAUUGAACUUCACUUAUAUCCUUUCAAAUAUGAACUCAUCGAUGGUAAUUGUUCUUUCAGAUGAUCUUACUGGCUGGACGAGGAUAGUUGUUGAGAAGCCCUUUGGGAAGGACUUGAAUUCUGCUGAAGAACUAAGUGCCCAACUUGGGGAGCUUUUCGAUGAACAACAACUUUACAGAAUUGAUCAUUACUUAGGAAAAGAAUUGGUCCAGAACUUGGUAAUAAUUUCAAAACUGUAUCUCAGAAAAAAUCAAGAUAUAUUUCUUCUACCCUCUGUUUCUAAUUCUGUCCUGUAUUUGUUUGCUUGAAUUGGCAGCUGGUCGUCCGUUUUGCUAACCGCUUCUUUAUGCCUCUUUGGAACCGUGAUAACAUUGCUAAUGUACAGGUACGAAUUUUCCGUAUCUUCUGAAAAAUGGAAAAUUUUCUUUGUUUGAUGGACCAGAUAAUCAACUUCACAGUCCAAAAUUGUGGCAAAAAAAAUGUUAUUUGUACUUUUGUACAUUUAUUGGUGAAAACAUGAAAUCUUUCUCUCUAGAUUAGUUAUCCUUUGGUGUUUAUAAAGAAGUUUUAUGUGGUAUACCUUAUUUAUUUAUUUGUUGUUUCUCUUCAAGAUGAUCUCAUAUUUAUUGCAAGCAUACAACUUUGACUUGAUUGGUGUACAUGUUGUGUCAAAAUAUUAGUUAUAUUUCUUAUUUUCUUUUAAUCAUGCAUCCAAAUCAUUUUCUGUAUAUGUCAGUGUAAUGCCUGUUUGUUAUUUGCAAAUAUUUUCUCUUCUAAGUUGAAGCCUUGUCCUGCAGAUUGUCUUUAGGGAAGAUUUUGGUACUGAAGGGCGUGGAGGAUAUUUUGAUGAAUAUGGGUAAAUAUGAUGAAUCCAUUUUCCAACAAACUUUCCUGAUUCAAGAUUAUUUGGGAGCGAACUUACUAAACUUUUCAUCAUUUGUACUUAGUACGUACACCAAAGAAACAUGAAACUCAUUUUUCCAAAUAGCUCAUUUUUAGAAAUAUUAUUUUUUCAUCAUUUGCUGCUUCAUAUUCAAUUAUUCAUUAUUUUUGACUCUAAUGUCUAUCAAUCAGAAAAUGAACAAAUUACAUUCCUUUUGACUGUACUAAAUCUGGUUGAUUACAAUCUAAAUGUACCCUCUCCUCUUAAUGCGAUGGUUGUUCCCUCGUAGCCAUUAGGUUUACUUGAUGAAACAGUUCAAACAUUGAGACCAAGAAAGUUCCUUGUUCUUUCUUUUGAGUUAUAUAGUUGACCUCUAAUUCUGACUUUGUCUCCACAGAAUUAUUCGCGACAUUAUUCAAAAUCAUCUGUUGCAGGUAAAUCAAUUGCUUUCACCUUUUCCUUUUUUCUUCUUUAACAGAAUCUACAGUACACCAGACUUUUCAAUCUUUUUUUUUCAUUGUCUUUGACCACCUGUUGAUGAGCACUUCUACUUUUUGUUGAUUUCGUGAUUUGCAUUUCAUUGGAAAAGGUCUACAUUGCCUCUUUACCAUCACAGAUUUCCUUUAAAUGUUUAAUUACAGUGGAGAAAAGAUCAUCGAGUCUGCAGAAAAUUUGAAUGGGAUAAUAAUGUUUAAGUGGAUAUGAAACUAGAAAUUGUUAUGUUUAUCCAAGUUAUAUGUACUUUUAGUGCUCCGGAUGCUGACAUCUGCAAGUGUUAAGGUGUCGAAGUCAAUAGACAUUCUCUGCUCUAGAAUUUAACUACUCCAAAAGGAAUUGAUAAUGUGCAUUAGAUUUACUUCAUGAAAUGUUGUGCCCUUGAUAAACAGUGUAUCAGCUGUCAAACAAGAAAUAUGUUGUGCAAGAGUUGUUUGACAAGUGUAUAUAGUGCAUUCGAGGCCGCAACAUCUCUUACAAGUACAAUAUUCCUAUCAAUUGAUCAGAAAAUUAAGUUCAUAUUUCAAAGACAAUGCCAUUUAGAAAAGUAUAUUAAAUACUUGGACAAUGUCCUUUGCCCACUUUUUUAUUAGUUCUUCUCCUUUAUGAGUAAAGUUUGUCAUACUAUAGUGAUCGGCUGUGGCUUUUGGUUGGUCUAAUCAGCUAUUAUGGCUACACCAUAAACUUUUAUUGAAGUAGGCGGAGGUAAUUUACUGUACGACUGAAUUGUUCUCAGUGUGUUUUUCAUGAAAAAAAAAAAGAAGAAGAUUAGUUGUAAGAGUUAUGCCAUAGUCACGUAAUCCACUUAUGCUCUUGAGAAACCGAAAUAGUCCGAUAAAUACCCAGUUAAAUGUUGAUUUAUAUCGCUCUCCUCAUGUUCAUGUCUGGUUGCAUAGAAAAAUUGGAAGCUCUACUAAUAGAUUAUUCUAUUCAAUUUCAGGUUCUUUGUUUGGUUGCAAUGGAGAAGCCUGUCUCUCUUAAGCCUGAGCACAUAAGAGAUGAGAAAGUCAAGGUUCUUUUAUUUAUCUACCAUUAUAAUAGAUAAAUUAACUUAAUCGCACUUUCUACAUUCGAAAUUGAUAGCCCGAACCAAAACUACCUAAAAUUGCAUCAAGACCAUUUAUGCCCUAAUGUGUGCUUCUUUUGUCAAAUAUCAGGUUCUUCAAUCAGUGCUCCCUAUACAUAAUGAGGAAGUAGUCCUCGGACAAUAUGAAGGCUACAAGGAUGAUCCAACAGUAUCUAAGGAUUCCAACACUCCGACUUUUGCAACAGUUAUUUUGAGGAUACACAAUGAAAGAUGGGAAGGUAUGUGUUUAUCUGCAAGCUAAAGUAAUCAUAAGUAGAAAGUCCAAGUUAACUGGUUUAAGAAUUUCCAAUUUCUUACAACAGUAUUUUGGACAGAGAAUUAACCAGUUUUACUUGUUUGUCUGCUCUCUCUUAAAAUGAGCAGAAGCACUAAUGUUUCACCAAUAUAAGAUAAAGAAAAUAGUAAGUAAUGAAUAUUAUAAAAACAGUAAAGGUUGUAAUUUGCAAUUUUUAUUCUCAUAUUUAUUCCCUUGACUAGAAUAUUAUAUUGAAUUUCUUCAUAUCAUGGCUUUUAUUAUCUUCACCAACAUAACCAAUACUUACUUGCAGGUGUUCCGUUUAUUCUCAAGGCUGGAAAGGCUUUGAACUCGAGGAAAGCAGAAAUUCGGGUUCAGUUCAAAGAUGUUCCUGGUGAUAUUUUUAGAUGUAAGCCCUCUUAGCAUGUUGCAAUUACAAAAUUGACUUUAUCAACUCUUUUACAUUGAUGUUAAUGAUUGCCAGAUAGGAAGAAGUAAUGACGAACAAGCAGCAAACACUAAAGUAAUAUUUGAAAACCUAGUUAAAGUUCUUACAUGGAAAAAAAGAAAAAAAAUUGUUUCCAGAUCAGGCAAAAACUUACCAAGUAAACAACAACAUCAUACAUUUUGUGUGUUUUACUUUAAAUGCUUUCUUAGCAAGAAGUGUAGGUUGUUGCAAUUUUUAGUUAACUAGAAUACUUUCUUUUACAAGCAUUUCAAACAUAACAUCCUUAGAAUGGUUGGUUAUAUCUAUCUCAAAAUUCAGGGAAAAUAGACUUAAAAAUUUUUAAGUUAUAUAUCCAUGAUAUAAUCUAAUCUAUCUUUACUCAAAUGGAAGUGAGUGCUGAACUUGUUAUCUAAAGCAAUUUGAUGUCCCUAAACAGCCUGAGGUGUGCAUUAAUGUUCUGAUCUGCAUAUAUGAAUGUUCAAAUUUAUAUAGCGUUUAUGAAAAUUGUAAAUGUUCGCAUUGCCUUGCUGCAUUUCAAUGAACUCUUUGGCCAAAAGUUAUAGUCCAGUUAGCAUGUAAAUUACAUGAUUAGUGGGCAUUGCAAUGCUAAUUUGAUAUGGUAAUAUAUAAUUCAUUAUGCAUUCCGUUCAAGUUCAUGAAAAUUCAUUGUUGAGGCAUAAACAUGCCAUGAGCAGCCAGUAAAUAAGGUUGGCUAUUUGGAGUUCUUGCCACCUUUGUGUUUAUAUUCCUCUUCCGCGCCCCUUUAUUUUCUAAAUAAUGACAAGCUUUAUUUGUUUCUUUUUGUCAAAGGCAAGAAGCAAGGGAGGAAUGAAUUUGUUAUUCGCUUGCAACCAUCAGAAGCCAUGUAUAUGAAACUGACAGUAAGUGUAUAAUUAUUUAAUUUAUAUUGCAAAUUAUAGAUAUCUCGAUUCUUGAUUACUCAAAAUAUCUCUUGAUUCUCUGAAGCUGGUGUUGAGUUUAUUUGUACAUAUAUCCUAUUGAUUAAAGUAGGGCAUCUAGGGUUAAACUUACUAUAAGCAAAGAUUGUGGAAAGAGAAGAGGACCGCACUUCAUGUAUUUUCUGUACUCACAACACAUUUGUUAGUAUAAGCAGGGGUGAAGCCUCAUAGGCCAUGGAUACCCUAACUUUAGGAAAAUCUUUUUACUAUGAGUUACCUUCACUGUAAUCCAAGUGGUUUUUAUACAAAUUUCUUUCAAUAGCUAGUACAAUUGUGUGUACAUGAGCAGUUAAAUUUACUUUGCUUACUUUAGAAUUUGAAUAGAGAUAUAUAAAGGUGCACUUUGGGAUACAUCACACCUUUUCUGCAUGUGUAAGAGAGAAAACUGAAUACAAAACACUUAUAGAAUGACCUACAAUGAUUCUUGAUUUCGAACUUGCGUCCUCUUACAAUUCCAGUGCCAAUGUCUUGCACUUCCUCUAAAAUUCGUAAUGUUUUCCCGCUUGUUAAUCAGUCUGUUGGGUUAAGGAAGAAUAUAGUUCUUCAACACCUUCCUACAGUUAUCAUAACCAAAGACCUAGAGAAGUUCCACCCUCUUGCAAAUACUAUGCCUCCAAAUACCUAAACCCUUCCCCAACAAUGCUCUCUCAUUGUCUCCCAUCCAAUCCUACCUUGGGUACUAAACUGUCCCUUUAAUUUAGUUUCUUUUAAAUGUUGCAUUACCCACUAAAAGAAAAGGUGUAUAAUCCCAUUUCAAAGCAACCUAAAUGUCAACCAUUUUCUAACUUGAAACUUGCAGGUCAAGAAACCUGGAUUGGAAAUGUCAACCAUACAGAGUGAGCUAGAUUUAUCUUACGGGCUACGGUAUCAAGAUGUGGUAAUUCCAGAAGCAUAUGAACGGUUGAUAUUGGAUACGUACGUUCCUCUUACUAAUCUCCCUUUCGGGUUGCGUCAUCCGCUUUUUUGUUUUCUAAUACAGCUUUAUAAUCUCGCGGUGUAUUUCCGUAAAGUGUUUUCUAACAAAUUAGACCUUUUUAGUUGAAAAACUUGCGCGUCUCUAGUAGAUCUGUAAAUUAAAGUUGAAAAUAUUCAUCACUAAGUUUAGGUGAAAGGUGACAUCUGUUUUAGGGCUUUGCAAAGCUUGUUUUUUCAGUGUGUGCGACCAAAAUGUUGAGGCGGUUAUACAUCUCUUACACUGCUGGCCAUGAAAAUAACUUUUCCCAUUUUAUAUGAACUCUGCUAUAUGAAGAUUGUUCAACUUCCGAUCUACCAAUUUCUUGAUAAUAUUUUGUAGAGUUUCUUCAAACCACCUGAACUAUUUGUUUAUCUAACGGCUUCAGAUUUAAUUGUAUGGCCAGCUUGUAAAAGGGAACUCAAUCUGAAAACAUACAAAAACAUAGGGCAUGAUCUCUUCUUAGUUUACAUGUUGAUAUUUGUAAUUUCAAGCGAGUGUGAUUGUGCCAUUUGCAACUUUUUCUUAAAUGUAGUCUGUGAGAGUCAUUAUCGACGUCAUGUCAUUGUAAUCCAUAUUUAAGUCCAUACAUUAGACAGCAACAUCAGUAUGACAAUUUCUCAAAUAAACUAAUCCCAUUUCGCUCAUAGGUUAGGGAUUAACAUCUAUAUGACUAAUUGCGUUACUCGAUAGAAGUUCUGGGUCAAAAUAGUUAUAUGCCUCAGAGUCUUGCUCGCAGGCAAUUACUUGUGAUGUUAUCUCUAUGAUUAAGUUUCUACUUGUUUGAUAUCCUUUCUCCACAGAAUACGAGGCGACCAACAGCACUUCGUUCGCCGAGAUGAACUGAAGGUUAGUGCCCUGCAAACCUUGAGAGAUCUUACUACCCCUCCAGAAGAUGUAAUUUAUUGUAUAUACUUAGUAAAAUCUAUCUGCCAUGAUGACCCUCUUCUGACAAAGCACUAAUUCAGUGCUUGUUUGUUCUAAGCGGGUUUUUCUUAAGCAAAUUACACUGUUUCCAGAAGCACGAAGGUCACACUUCUACUUAAUAUUCAAUGAUCGAACAUCAUUCAACGAUCCACAUUAUUAAACACGAAGGCCGUGUUUGGUAAUGGGAUAAUUUCUGCAGGGUUAAAUUUUUUUAUUUCUAGAAUAUUGAGAUAUUCUAGGAUAGAGAGGAAUGAAAGUAAUUUUUUGUUUGGCAAAAUUUUUACUUAUUCUCUGCAAUAGACAAAAUGAUGUUUGGUAACUUUCUUGAAAGAAGAGAAGAAUAAUUAGUAAAGUUGAUUGAAAUAUUUUAAAAUGCCAAGUUUGCCCUUAUAUAUACAGUGAAUUUUUUUCUUUGUAUAAUACAUAUACAAUACUUGAUAAAUUUGAAUAUAAUUUUUUCAGAUAUAAUUACAAUACAAAAAUUAUAAUUAAGAAANUGUUUGGUAACUUUCUUGAAAGAAGAGAAGAAUAAUAUAUGCAAUAGUAACUAAUUUAUUUAACUGCCAAUAAAUUUACAUAGUUAAACAAAAAUCCUAAUAUAAAUUUACAUAGUUAAACAAAAAUCCUAAUAUAAAUCUUAAUACAUUGGACUAACCAAAUCUCUAUAUACUUGGCAUUGGAAAAAGAGAAGAGAUGAGAGCUUUGAUAAGUGGGUAAAGUGGCGCGGUUUUCAAGGCAACCCAAAAAGAAGGCCAUGCUGCCCCUCAGGUUCCAGGAAUAAACCUUAUUCCAUGGUUGGGAAAGAAUUAAAUUAACGGGUUAUUCCAGUGAAAAUUGGAAUAACCCGCUUUGACCGGUAUAAAUUAUUCCGGUACUUUUUUUUUUUUUCGUUUGGCAGAAUAACGAGAAUAAAUUUGAUUAUUCUGUAGUUAUUCCGUUACCAAACGGAGCCGCAGAGUAUCUACUAAUAUAUCUCGGAACUAAAUUUCAUGGUUCUCUAAGUCAGCUGCCUUGUAACCAAAACAUAUGAAAAUUGACAAUUUAACUACUGAUAUGAGGCAUUUGCUGUUUAAUUGUGUAUAUAAGCAUCCAAAUAGUGGAGUUAUUAGUAGAAAAUACCUUUCACUACCCUGAUCAAGGCCAACAUCCUUUACCGUAAGUUUUCUAACGCGAUCCUCUACUUUUAUAGAUUGUCCCAUAUCCACCAUUUAUUUUGUGGCUGCUUGAUGCAUAGGAAAAUAAUUUUAUGUUUAAUGGUUUGAAUCGUUGACUCCAAUGUGCUUUGAAGAUGAAGUGCAACCACCGAAGCCUUCAUGCUUGUAAACUAGUUCUAGUCUGUUUUCAUUUACUUCGCACAUGGAUUUAUCUAACAACGCUUGUUCCGACUAUGGUUCUCAGGCUGCUUGGGAGAUCUUCACACCUUUGCUACAUGACAUCGAUGACGGCAAGCUGAAGCCCCUUUCUUACAAGCCGGGUAGCCGAGGCCCAGCUGAGGCGGACGAACUGCUCUCCAAAGCUGGGUAUGUGCAAACCCAUGGCUAUAUUUGGAUACCGCCCACGCUAUAAGAGCAUUCGUUGAUGAGUUUUUGGUACCUAAUGUAAGUACCCAGAUGAGAGUUUAUUUGCCGUGUGCGGCACAAAUCUUUGCAUGACUUGUUGUGCCGAGUGGCUUGACCUUUCUACUUCGAAAAGAAUAAGUGCCUUGUUUUGUACCAUGCCUAUAAUUUGCAUCUAUAGUAAUAAGAACUCUAUUCCGAGAAUCUAAUUCCUGUCGAAUGAGUUGCCUUUCUUGUUUGUCUUUUUGAUUGAUGCUUCCAUGAAGCAUCUGCAGUGAAAGAUGAUGUUUCCGUGAAGCAUUUGCAGUGAAAGAGGCAAUCUAUUAGUAUAAAAUGAUACUAGUGUAGGCAAUCUAUUAGUAUCAGGGCGGGUAGAUACUAUUAAAGUGGAAAUUUGUGAAGAAUAAAAUAUCAGUUUAGUACCAAAAAUAGUAAAUAUAGUCUAUAUUAUUGGCAAAUAUUUUUUAAAAGAUAAAACUGUAAUGAAGAAGAAUCAAUCGUUCCAACAAAACUAUUCAACUUUGUUCAAGAGAAGUCGCAUAUCAUGAAAAUGGAUAAUUAAAAUUAUUUCUAGAACACAAUAAUCAAAUAAAAUAGGGACAAUUGGUUAUAUAUCCCUGAAAAGUUUUCGACUUUAUAAUUUAUCCCUCUUAGAAGGCUAAUAUUGAAAAUACCGUUUUUACGUUCCAACCUAUUUCAAAUAUACCUCUAUAGAGUUAAAUCAUGUUAAUAAACUGUUAGUAAUAGCUGUUAUCUAUAUGAAAUUAUUAUUUUGUCAUUUCAAAUAUAUCUUCCACCAUCACCAAGUUUUCUUAUUUGCCCUUAAGUUAGGGCAUAAAAAGUAUUUUGAUUUUUGAUCUUUUCAAAUAUACCAUUCUACCAUCACCAAUAUUUUUUAUUUGCUCUUAAGUUAAGGGCAAAAGAGGCAUUUUGAUUUUUUUUUUUUUAUCUCUAGUAGAUAUUUAACUCGUAUUUAAUCCAAGUUAAUUUAACAGAUGAUAACUGCAGGAGUAUUUUGGAAUAACGGAGAAACAUAUAAGGGGUAUAUUGGAAAGAAAAAAAAAGUAUGGGUAAAUAAGAUAUUUUCGAAGUUUUGAGGGCUAUAUAGACAAUUAUCCCAAUCAAAUCAUAUAGCAAUUGAUAUGACUAAAGAAAAAUUCACAAUAAUAUGUAAGACAAUUUACAAAUAUUAUGUAUCAAUAUCACUUUUAAUCAAUAAAUUGACUCUGAAUAUGAAACACAACAAAGGUUUUCGAAUUUGCUAAUUUCGAUCCAUCAUCACAAUAAACGAUCCUUCCAUUGUUGGAGGAAAUGAUGUGAAACCAUACAUCCCUCAAGAUAUCCAUCGAGGUCUCAAAGUGCGUGAUGUUGAAAGCAAUAGAAAAGGAGCCUAGGGCUUCGAAAGUCUUGUUGCCUGAAAUUUAAAAAUUUUGUACUAUCAUUUCUUUUGACUACAAAAGAUUCUCUAAAUACUUCAACAAAACUUUUGUUAAAAUUUAAUAAUUAAUUUUUUUUUUCUUACGGAUAGUAUCAAAGCUUCCUCUUCUUCGUAUACUAUUUAAUAGGAGUGUAGGGCUCAUUCGCUGCAACUUCCAUCUUCAUGCUUGGCUCAUUCGGAAACUCGACUAUGAAAUUAAACUCUUCAUCACCCAACUUCAAGGGUAUAUUGUGACAUCAUGAGAUCUUUUACGUGUAGCGUCAAGGAAGAAGACCCUGUUGUGUAGGAUUUCAAGCUCGUCCUCAUCCUUAUUCCGAACAUUGGAUCCAAUUAGCACGGAGAGGUCGCGAUAGUAGAGGUGACGGAGAGAAGAAGUGCGGCGGUGGGGGAUGGAAGGAGAUGGAGAAGGGGGCAACACGUAGGGGUGGGAUACGAAGGGGAUCAGCGGGUUUCGUAGACGUGACAGUUAUGGAAAAGAAAGUAAAGGAUACGGAGAGGGAAAAGAUGGGAGACGAAAAUGUGAAAAAAAGCGAUGAAAAAAAAAAAAACUCAUAGGCCGUAGCAAAUCUACAUAGACCCUAGUAAAUCUAAGGAGAAGAAAAUAAAAAAUAAAAAACAAAGUAGGCCCCACUUCGCCCCAAAUUUAGGAAGACGGAGGAAGACCUAAGGGUGCGUUUGGUUCGCACUAUGAAAGAUUACUAGGAAUAAAAAGAUAUCUGAGAAUGUUAUUCCUAUUCAUCCUAUUACUAAGAAUGCAGUAUUUCGGUGUUUGGUUCAUACGGUCAUAUUAUUUAGUCAUAUUAUUUAAUAUUACAAAAAAUAUACAAUUAAUUAAUUAAUUAAUUUAAUUAAUUUUAAAUAAUACUAUAAAAAAUUUCAACAUCUUUUUAGAAAAAAGAGAGAGAGAAUAUAGGUUAGAAAGAGAGAGCAUAAUUAAAGAAAUAAAAAGAGAAAUAGAGUCGAGGUUAGAGAGAAUGAGAGGGUUGAGAUUUUAGAAAAAGAGAGGGAGAAACAAUUUAAUUUAGAGAGAGAAAAAGAGUUGAAGUUUAGAAAAAAAAAGAGAUAAGUUUAGAGAGAGAUAUGAGGUUAGAGUGUAAAGAAAAAUAAUACCAACUAACCAGCGGUGGGAAGAAAAAAAGAGAUUAGACAUAUUAUAAUUACUCUAAUCUAUUAAUAUAAGGAUACUCACUCUCGCUCAAAGGAAUGAGAUUAAUUAGUACUUUGAGACGCAUCUCAUUCCCAAGUAAAUCUCGUAUUACCAACUAGAUUACUUAGUGCGUUUAGCCAAACACCGUCAUAUUUUUUUAUUUCUAUUGGAUUACUAGGAAUCUUAAAAAGAUAGCGCGAACAAAACGCACCCUAAAGGUGAAACUCUUAGGCUUUAGCAAAUCUAAAAAAAAGGAGAAAAAAUAAUAAUAUAAAAAGUAGACCACACUCCUCCCCGAAUUAAGGGGGUGGGUACAUGUAGGAUUUAGCCAUGGAAAUUAAUGUAUAGGUAUAAAUAUGUGCAAAUAUAGGUGGUGCUUGGCAUGCGUAGGUAAAUAACAAAAAUGUUAAAUGAUGAUGAGACAUUGAUGUGUUACAAAAAACAUUUAUUUUGAAAAAAAAAUCACAUGUUAACAGGGGCUUUUAUUAAGAGUAUUUUAAAAAAUAAAAAGAUUUUUUUGAUACUCGUUGCUUCCUCAAAUAUGUUUGUUGGAGGCUACAAUUACUCAAAAUUUAAGUUAGACCAAGCACAAUGUUCUACUCGUUCUGAUAAGCUAUUGGAAAACCAAAUUCAUGACAUUAUCAAAAGAUAGCAAAAAAAAAAUUUUGUGAAAGGAAGGGAGAGAGAGUGUACCGCAAAAAUGAAUGAGGGCUAGUGUCCACUGCCAAAAGAUAUGGAGCUGGUAGAUACUGAGGAAGCAAUGGAAUGGGAAACUUGUCGAGACUCACAUGCCUGAGAGAGGGCCUUGUACCUCCGAGAAAAGUUUUUUGGACGGAUAACUAGGACCGAUCUAGACAUAUCGUAAACCUUGCAAUCGAGCAAUCGAUUCUUUCCCAGAGACUUAGGGGAGAAUGUCCGAGCAGCCUAGCACUAGAGAGGACAAGCACUUAGGAGUAGAAUACCUCAGAGAUUGACACCUUCCUUUCCCCUGACCUUGACUUGGAGCUAGAGUCAAGAUUUCAACUGUUGAAAGAAAAGGCUCAAAAGGUGGUGAAAGUUGAUCUCUUUGCUCAAUGUAGAGAAUCGAAGAAAAGAAUAGAAACAAAUAGAUCAAACGCAAGAAGACAAAUCUUAGCAUCUCUUGGGUAGAUCGCAAGGAAGAUUUCUUAAUCUCGUGCUAUCCAUUCGACGGCGACCUCCCUCCUUCGAAGAUAGGACAAUAUAGCUUUUUCCCUAUGCUGCGCUCUCCAAAAGAAGUGAGGUAUAUGGGAGUCCCUACUACUUAGUAGAGAAAGAAGGUGUCUUCAACAGGGCUAGAGAUUUCUCUCAAGCUAUCCUAUAAAAAGGCCCUCCUUAGUCAUCUACCACACUCCAAACGCUCAGCUCCCACUUCAAGUCAAAAACACCUAAAGCCCCAUCCCUAGCCCUUACACUACAGUACGCUUUUGAGGGUGGAUACUUUAGGUGCCUUGCGGGGGCCUACUGAGUUUGGGAUUGUAGAGACCACCUGUAGUGCUCUUCAUGGUUUUGGUUACUGCACUUUACUCGCUUUUGUUGUGAUCGUAAAGCUCCAUCUUUGACGAAAAUGCAGAGGGUCUUUUAGUUUCACCCCUCUUCAAUGAAGGUUUUUGUCCUGCUAAUUCCAUUCCUGUCAACAGCUAUGCCAGAACGCUUUACUAGCCAAUGUCAUUGGGCUAGCCAACUUCGAAUACUGCCCCUAUGAUAUGAUUGCAAACGAUUUCGUCUAUUGGUAGGUUCUCGAAGGACUUCCAUAUAGCUCGUUAUUGCGAAAGGGACUUCAAAUAGGUCCAUUGGAGGAGCUUGUAAAUAGGAAGGGCAUUAGAUUCCCACGCUGCAAGCUCUGUUAUUAUAAAUGGAAUCCCUACAGAAAUGCGAGUCAUUUCCAGAUUACUCACAAAGCUUGGAUUAAGUUAGUCAACUUACUGUUUGAAUGCAGGUCAAAAUUCCGGGUUGCUUCCACUGUAAAUGGUUUUGGCAGACACCUUCUGGGUGACAAAAACAACCUCGAUAUGCUCAACGACAUCAGAUUACAAUGCCAGCUUGCCAUCAACUCGCAAAUAACCAUAAGGGAUAUUAUUAUUUCCGUCAUUGUUUAGCUGGGAAGAUUUGUUCCCUUUGGAAGAGAUGAUCAUGGCAUCUACUUUGCUGGGGGUGAUCUGAAUGAAGGAAGCAAUCAAAUGGAUCCCCAUGGCUGGUAUUUGGCAAGCAGGGUCAAUCACCAAGGCGGGGUCACAAUAAUUAACAAAUCUAUAGAUGACGACGCCACAGGUCAAAACAACACUUGAAACUCGUUGAAAAUUAGAGAUAAAUGGCAUAAUAGCUUACCAGGGAUUCUGGAAAGUUGCAAUGUCUUCAGUGCUCCGACGAAGACCCAGCAUGGCCUAAGGCUAGUGUGAGCAGGGAGAUUCCGUCUUACCCACUGGCCGAUGCAACGACACAUCGCAAACUGGCGAGCAAGAAUACCUGAGAAGCGGAGGACUUUACCCAACAAUUCAUUAGACACUUCAAGAGUUGCAAGCAAGAUCGAUUAGGUAAAGAUUCAAAUGUGAUUAUGAUAUUGGGGCGUAUAAGAAAGGAACAAAAAGGAAAGCCAGGUACAACCAACUGGAGAAAUAGGAAGAUGAUCAGGAAGAGAUUUCCAUUAAUGAGAAAUUAGGCGAUUAUCUAGAUAUCAGAGUUGAGGCAGGCGUCGACGGCCCUCGAGCUGGGAGCCCUAUCUCAGGCCUUCGAUGUUGCGACGCUCAAGAAAGCCCUCAUGGCACAAUCUAGGAUUUCGAGAAAGUUUGUUGGAGCUUUGUGGAGAAUGGAAUCUUUCAGACAACAAGCACUUGGGUGCAGGAAUUUCUCACAUUUGACUGGAAGUUGGGCUUUCAUAAAAAUCGAUUCAGACCACAAAAAAGGCAGGCCUUUGGACUAUUGGGCAACAACUUGGGUGCAACCAGUCAACCCGAACGCUUUGGGUUUAUGGAUUGCAACCAACAGUGGGGCCUUGUUCUCCAGAUUUGUAAUUCGGAUCUCACUCUCCCCAGGAUGAUGUCUUUAGUAGUUAAUAUGAUCCUAUCCACAUUUUCUCUUGGGGUUGUGUUACAUACUAACUAUUUGGACAAAACUGACGUGAUGAGGAGGUCGGAGUGCCAAUGUAAUCCUCUCUCUCAAUCGAUGGGGAUUAUUAUUAACCUCAUAAGAUUGUGAAAAAUAAAAUAUUUCUAAACAUCAAUUUCAAGCAUAGUUGGGACUUGUCAUCGGUUGGUACUUGAAGCUCGUCAAAGGUAGCGUUUCAUGGGAGGUCAGAGAAGCUAUGAGUAUUGAAUCAGCUUUGAGUUGUCCAGCCUCGAAUGUAACUAGCUCCAUUCCCAGAAAGCGCGCUCGAUUGGCUAGUCGCUCUAAUGAUAGUAUGGUGGAUAGGGAUAAAAUGCGUAAAGCCCAAUUGAGAGAGGGUGCGAUUUUGGAACUCCUAACAAAAUAGUGUAAGAACACUCAUGGGACGAACAAAGAGGCUAUGCACAAUAAUCAUUGUGCCAUGACCUACAACAAGGUCAAGAAAAAAGUGCUUAGUAUUGGAUUUUCCUUAAUGAUGAUAAGAUGUGCAGUUUUAUGGACUUUUUCGCCUCUUCUUCGGUUGUUUAGGGCUUUGGGUAUUUGUGUUAGAUUAAGUGGUUUCCUUUCCUUUUAUAUUUCAAAUAUUUAGUUAGAAUGUCAUGGACUUGAAUGAUUAGGGUAAAAGGAGUCUAGUGAAAUUCAUGAUCUCUAAGUUUAAGAUGUCUAUUUUAUAUAACAAACAUUGACGAUCCACUUGUGUGGAAAGAAAAAGAGGAGUUUUGUGGUGAAUUGGCUGCACUAAAUGGUGUUUGUAGAGGUCUGUGGGUGAUGUGUGGGAUUUCAACCUAACUAAGAAUCAGUAUAAGCGAAGAGGUAAAAGCUGGAGUGAAUGAUUAAUAACCAUGUUCACUGAUCUUUUAAACAAGUUGAAGAUGAUUGACUUGCCAAUGGGUAACCAAAAUUUCAUGUGGUCUAACAUGCAAUGUAGCCCUACCCUAGUCAAGGUUGAUGGUUUCCUAAUUUCCACUGGAUAGGACCAUGUCCUUCCUUUAUCCAAAGUAAUGGCGGUACAAAGAAUUACGUCUGACCACUUGCCGAUCUUGCUAUCCAUUAGUGAUAAAAUGACUAGACCUGUGUUUAGAUUUGAAGAGGUCUAGCUAGCAUGAGAAGAUAUUUGUAACCUGAUAUUGGUCAAUCGAAGGAGGUGCCGAAUAAAGGUUCUAAUGUUCUCACCUUCGUAGCUAAGCUAAGACAUUGCAACAAGAGAAUUAAAGAUGGUGUUCAACGAGCUUUUACGGUAUCUUGAAAACUAAGAAGGCUAUUUUAGCAGAUGAGACACUCGUCAAGGAUAGCUCUUCACAAUAGGUCAGGUUGGUGCACUAUGUCGUCCAUACUGAUGGAGAAGCGAUAAGUAUUGAAUCACCUUGGGUAGUCCACUCGAAUAUAACUAGCUCUAUCCCUAGAAAGUGCGCUCGACUGGCUAGUCGUUCUAAUGAUAAUAUGCCGGAUAGGGCUCAAGUGCGUAAAAGCCCAAUUGAGAGAGGGUGCAAUUUUAAAAUUCCCAACAAAACAAUGUAAGAACAGUUGCGGGGUGAAUAGAGAGGCUACACACAAUGGUCAUUGUGCCAUGACCUAUAUGAAGGUUAAGAAAAAAAGUGCUAAGUGUUGGAUUUUCCUUAAUAACAAUGAGAUACCCGGUUUUAGGGAUUUUCUAAGCGCCUCUCCUUAGGUUGUUUAGUUCUUUAGGUAUUUGUGUCUGAGUAGGCGGUCUUCCUUCUUAUUAUGUUUCAAAUAUAUACUUAGAAUGUUAGGAGCCUGAAUGAUCAGGGUAAAAGGAGUCUAGUGAAGUCUGUGAUCUCUAAGUUUACAAUGUUUGUUUUAUGUUUUCAAGAAUUCAAAGUGGAAGCUAUCUCUUGCUCUUUUCUCCAACCGUUUGCCGAAACUUUCUUUGAGGUAUACCAUUGCAUCAUAUCGGAGAGGAUGUCGAGGAGUAUAAUCACUUAUUGGAGCUCGUAUGUCUUUUCAUGCUGUAAAGUUUUAGUGCAUAAUUUCUCUCUUACUCUUUGGCUGAAAUAUAUCACCGGUUGUUCAAUUUUUUAUAUAAUGAAUGUUUACGGCCCACCUACGUGGAAAGGAAAGGAGUUUUGUGGUGAAUUGGCUGCACUAAAAAGUGUUUGUGAAGAUCUGUGGGUGAUGUGUGGGAUUUCAAUCUAAUUAAGAAUCAGCAAGAGAGAAAAAGUAGAAGCUGGAGUGGACGACUGAUGGCCAUGUUCACUGAUCUUUUAAAUGAAUUGGAGAUGAUUGUCUUACUAAUAGGUAACCAAAAUUUCAUAUGGUCUAAUAUACAAAGUAGCCCUACCCUAGCCAAGGUUGACCAUUUCCUAAUCUCCACUAAAUGGGACCAUGUCCUUCCUUUAUCCAAAGUAGUGGCGGUAUUGAGAAUUACAUCCGACCACUUGUCGAUUCUGCUAUCUAUUAGUGAUAAAAUGACUAGACAUAUAUUCAGAUUUGAAAAGGUCUAGGUAGUAGGGGAAGAUUUUUGUAACCUAAUACUGGUUUGAUGAAAGGAGGUGCCAAAUAAAGGUUCAAGCGUUCUCACCUUCGUAGCUAAAUUAAGACAAUUGCAGUAAGAGAAUUACAAAAUGGUGUUCAACGAGCUUUUACAGUAUCUUGAAAACUAAGAAGGCUAUUUCAGAAGAGAUUCAACAGUUGAAUUUUUUGGAGGAACACUAAAAUGUGACUUUUCAGCAACUAGAGAAAUGAAAACAAUUCAACAUGCGACUUAUGGGUGUCGUGGCGGAUAAAGAGACAUUAUAGAAAACCCAAGCCAGACAACACUACUCAAAGAAAGAUGACGGCAAUACAAAAUUUUUUCAUACAAUGGCAACUGGAAGAAGAUGCCAAAAUGCCAUAAAUGCGGUCAAAGAUGAAGGCAGAACAUUUUACAAAAAGGAAGAAAAAAAAGUAUUUAUAUAAUAAAUUCAAAGAAGUGUUUGCCUGAGGUGCCACAGUUAGCACGAUAAUAGGUGAUUGAAGCAGCAUAUUUAGGAGUAGACCAAUUCUUAACCCGAAUCACCUUACCUCACCAUUCUCUUUGGAAGAGAUCAAGAAGGCUACCUUUCAAUUAGGUAGUUACAAAGCCCAGGGACCAGACUGACUCAAGCUAAGGUUCUACCAAAGGUUCUGAGAGGUGGUUAAAGACGAUUUUCUUAACAUAUUUCGGGAUCUAUUUGAUGGAACUUUGAGCUCUGGACCAGUGAAUUAUUCAUUCAUAUUCCUUAUGCCCAAGAAAGAGGGGGCAAAAUCAGCAAACAAGUUCAAAUCUAUAAGUCUCAUUGACGGUGUUCAAAAGAUCUCUAAGGUACUCGCAAACAGAUUAGAAGGUAUAAUGAAAGAUAUCAUCUCUCCAACACAGAUAGCUUUCCUCUAAGGCCAAUCCAUUAUGGACUCCUUUGCAAUUGCUAACAAAAUUGUUAGUUGGAGCUCAAAGCUAGUAAGAAAAGUAUUGGAAUCAAAGUCGAUUUUUGAGAAGGCGUAUGACAAUGUGAGAUGGGAUUUUUUCAAAAAGGUCUUGACAUGGCUCAGGGUAUAUUAGAAGUGGUGUGGUUGGAUUGAACAAUGUAUAUCUAAUGCCAAAGUAGCAGUACUAGUUAACAGAGCACCAUCUAAAUGAAUAAAAGCUAAAAGGGGCCUGUGAUAAGGUGACCCACUUUUCCCUUAUCUCUUCACGCUGGCGACGGAAGGACAGGCUAGAAUGAUGGAGAAAGUUGUGCGUAAUGGUUUGUUAAGAGAGAUUGGACCCAAGGAAGAGUCUAAGAUAGCUAUCAUCUAGUAUGCUGAUGACACGAUCUUUUUCUGUGAAGCUAAGAGAAAGCACGUAAGCAACCUUCUUUUGUGUGACAAGCUUUGGAGUAGGCGUUUGGCUUGAAGAUUAAUGUGGUUAGAAUUAUUUUAUCUGCGUGAUCGUGACCACCUAGGUGGGAGUCUUGUGGAGAUUCUAGGGUGUAAAUUGGAAUCUUUUUCGAUGGGCUACCUCAGACUAUCCCUUACGAAUGGCCAUCUAUGAAAUAAGGACUGGUGAUUCAUUGUUGGUAAAAUUAAGAGGCAGAUCGAAAUGUGGCAAGCUAAACUCCUAUCACAAGGAGGUAGGUUAGUCCUUGUGAACUUAGUGCUAUCGAACCUGCCACUGUAUUACUUCUUGAUUUUUAAAGCACCGAAAUUGCGUAAUAUGACAAAUAGAAACUUUUCAAAGGGCAUUCUUCUGGAGAGAAGGGAUAACCGUUGUGGGGGGACAUUGCCUUGUAAGAUGGAAAAUUGUUUAUAGGAGUAGAAAGAAGAAAGGAUUAAGGGUCAAGGACUUAGAGAAUAUGAACAUAGCAUUAUUACAAAAUGGUGAUGGAGGUCUCUCUCAUAUAAGAAUCAUCAGUGUGGCUCUCUUAUCAAUGAAAUUUAUUUCUCCCGGAGGAAAUCGCUUAAAGAAGGCAUGUCUUUCAGACCACACACACUAGUGGUAGAGUGUUUUAGUGACCAGGGAUAAUUUUAAAAGCGGGAGUGUCCUACUCAAUUGGAGAUAGGCAAAAAAAAAGUUUUUUGACUAACAUCAGGAGGAACUGAUCUACCCUACGAACUUUAUACCCUUGUAUUUGUGACAACGUAGUGAGUAAAAAUUUUAGAUUGAAAAGAUUGUUGCGGAAGAAAAGGAUGGAAGUGGCAUAAGAUCUUGUCAACUUCACCCCUAGCUCUUAGUUCGACAAUGACUUAAUCUUGAAGCUGAAAGAGUCGAUCUCCAAGUUUUCUCUAUACAAUAUAAAGGAUGAAGUCAGAUGGAGAUGGGCUUGGUCCAAAAAGUUUGCGGUUAAAUCACUCCACAACUUUCUACACGAUGGCAGAGUAAAAGGUAGGAGCUUUAUUUAACUGUGGAAGAUUAGAUCUCUUUUAAAAGUCAAGAUUUUCGUGUGAUUAGUCCUGAAAAAAAAAGGUGUCACAAUGGACAACCUUUUGAAAUGGGGUUGGAGUGGAAAGAAGAGCUGUGUUUCUAUUUGGAUGAGACUUAAAUAGUGGAUCAUCUUUUCACUGGUUGUCUAAGUACCAAAGCUUUGCUGGAGGGACUACUAUCGAACAAAUUGUUUCUUCUUAACUAUUCUUCUACCAGUAGGCUUUGAGAAGUGAGCAGACUUAAAGAUGAAGCGCUAGGGGAAAGGAGUAAGCAACAAUCACCACCACUUGAUAGUUAUUUAAUUGGAGUGGAAUAAAAGAAUUUUUUGAUAAAAUAAAACACACAUCAGGUUACUUGACGACCGAGAUUCGUCCGCUCACGGAUAUUUGGGGCCGCUAUUGCAUUAUGUUUUUUUUUUUUUUCCUCGAGACCUGGCUGUCUUAGAUUAUAGCCCAGUUCAUUCUCUUAAUAAAUGAAACGAUAGCAUGUUACCUUGUUCUCAAAAAAAAAAAAAAGGAAAAGAAAAGAGUAUUUGAAAAAGAAACAUACCUUGAUUAUAGGAAAUUAAUUGAUUAUUGAAUUCACUUUGGCAAAAGGAUAUUAUGCCCACCAACUAAGCUAUGUGGAGCACGCGCAUGAUCACACUAUUUACCAUGAUGGCCAUAUUGUUGUUCUCUUGUCGUAUUAUAUUAUAUUUAACGCAUUUAGUGAUGCGUACACGUUCUCCUUUCAUGGUGGAUAAAAAGAGUGACUAACAAUAGAUUGUGAGUUACCGACCGUCUCUAAAGCAAGUGGCAAAAGGCUUGGUGGUUGGUACCCGAGGCCCAAGUUCGAAUCCUAGUUGAUUUACAUUUCCAGCUAAGUUUAUUUCUAAAUAAAGUAAACGAAGCGGGUAGCGUGCUACCUAUCUCUCUAAAAAAAAAAAGAAGAAAAAAACAAUAGAUUGUGAGUUCCUAGGCCACAUAGCCCACGAGUGGCUCUAUAAUCCGCUAUGACUAGCUCCAUAGUUGUCCUCCAAUUACAAUAAAAAUUCAACACAUAAAUUUAUAUGUAUUGCAAACAUAAACUGAAUCGUCAUAAAUUUUCUCUUUGAAGUACAUUAAUUACUUCUUAACAUUCUCUUUACGUAUAAAGAUAAGGUUAUAAAGAGAUUCGACAAAACACACAUUAUUUUCAAAUUCUAAUAAUUUUCGAAAAUAAGGAUGAUGGUGUUAGUUGUCACGGUGGCGGCAGCCGCCGAUGGUGGUGCCAUUGACUUGGUUUCUGCUUUUCUUCUCUUUUUUUCUCUCUUUUCUUGACAAGACGCAACCAAAUACAAUAAAAAAAUAAAAAAGUACAAAACUCUUUUUUUUUUUCUUUUUUUUUUCUUUUUUUUACUUUGGCGGGUCAAAAUCCUAUCCUGUGAUUAGGGGUGUCAACAAGCCGAAUGAAAUGAGCCGAACACGAGCUGGCUCGUUAAAAUAUCGAGCCGAAAAAUUCAGCUCGUGUUCGGCUCAUUUAUUAAUGAGUUGAACACGAGCUGCCUAAUGAACAAUAAGUUAAAAGAAUUAUGAAGGAUACGUAUAGAAAAAAAAAAAAAAAAUUAUGAGAUCUAACCUAUUUGACUUUGAUCUAAUAGUUGAAACUUUAUAUAUAAACAACCUUUUUAUAAUUGAGUUGGACUUUAUAUUUAUGUUAAGCUAAAAACCAAAUAAUAAAAAUUUAUAGUAUAUAUAUAUAUAUAUAUAUAGUGCGGCUAGGAUGCUUAUGGAAGCACGGAGGACUCCGUACUUCCACUUUGUUUUCGAUGUUCGGACUUUCAAAUCGAUGAUCGGCUCCAUUAGACUUGAUCUAGAGUAUUUGAAGUAUCUAGAAAAUAAAUUUUGCGAUUUUUCGAUAUCAUUUGCCUAGUGAUCGAAGUGGCUCAAAAUCGACGGCUGACAAUAAAAAUUUUACAAAAUAUGAUGAUAUGACAUUAAAAUUUUAGAUCAAAGUUAUUGAUCUUGUUUUAUAUGGUAUAAAAAAUUUUUUAUCAAAAUUUCAUGUGAUUUGGAUAUUUCUACACCGUUAAACUUGCAACCGGCUCACCACGGCCGUUAAAAUUAUUGAUUUUGAGCCCCUUCGAUCACUAGGCAAAUGAUAUCGAAAAAUCGCAAAUUUUAUUUUCUAGGUACUUCAAAUACUCUAGAUCAACUCUAACGAAGCCGAUCGUCGAUUCGAAAGUCCGAACAUCGAAAACGACUUGGAAGCACGGAGGCCUCCGUGCUUCCAUAAGCAUAUAUAUAUAUAUAUAUAUAUAUAUAUAUAUAUAUAUAUAUAUAUAUAUAUAUAUAUAUAUAUAUAUAUAUAUAUAUAUAUAUAUAAAAUAGAUAAUUGCAUAUAUACCCCUGAAAACUUUAGAAAUAUCUCACUUACCCCUACUUUUUUUUUUCUUUCCAAUAUAACCCUCAUAUGUCCCUCCAUUAUUCUAAAAUACCUCUACAGUUACCAUCCGUUAAGAUAAACUGGGAUAAUAAACAUGAGUUAAAUAUCUACUAGAUUUAAAAAAAAUCAAAAUGCCUCUUUUGCCCUUAACUUAAGGGCAAAUAAGAAAUAUUGGUGAUGAUAUAAGAGUAUAUUUGAAAUGAUAAAAAAUCAAAAUACUUUUUGUAUCCCUAACUUAAAAGCAAAUAAGAAAAGUCGGUGAUGGUGGAAGGGUAUAUUUGAAAGAGUAAAAUAGUAAUUUCAUACAGAUAACAGCUAUUGCUAAUAGUUUAUUAACGGAAUUUAACUCUAGGGAUAUAUUUGAAAUAGUUGGAACGUAAAACGGGUAUUUUUAAUAUUAACCUUCUAAGAGGGAUAAAUCAGAAAGUCGGAAACUUUUCAAGGGUAUAUAAGCAAUUGUCUCUAAAUAUAAAAUAUAUGUAUUCAAGCUGUUAUCGAGCCGAACACGAGCGAACUGACCCCAGCUCGUGUUCGGCUCGUUUUUUAAAUGAGCUAAAAAAUUCAGCUCGUGUUGGCUCGUUUAUUAAACAAACGAUUUGAUCUGGAGCUCAUUUUGAGUCGAACACGAGCUAGCUCACGAAUAGCGAGCUGGAUUGCCAACCCUACCUGUGAUCCCUUAAUGGGUUUGAUAACUUGAACCCGUUAAGAAAGAAUAUUUAAUGGAGCUAAAAUGAUGCACGCUAGAUAAGAGAAGAUGGCAAAUAUUGUAACGCAGGGGAAGAAAGGAAAAGAGUAAAGAAGAAAGAAAGAAGUAGAGAUAAUUCACACAACUUAUAUACAAGUCACACAAGCACUAAGGAAGAGUACAGAUCUAAAAUAAUUUUUUAGUAACCAAAAAUUUCUUUGUACGUAUCAAACUUAUUUAUAACAAAUCAAAUUCUAAUUCUAAUCAAAUCUGAUAAUUUUAGAAACUUUUCUAAAACAAAUAAAUCUAUUCUAACCUAAAACUUCUAAAUCUAUAUCCCUAUUAUUUAGAAAAUUAUUCUACAUGAAAAAUCUUAAAAAUUUAAAUGAAACAUGUAAUAUAAAUUAACAAACAUAAAUAUUCCAAAAAUUAGAAAAUAUAUUUUAAAAUCCUAGCUAAUCUUUUUAUGACUAUAUCAUAAUGCAGCCAUUCCAUGUUUCUAAGCACAGGAUGCAUUCUAUAUAAUUUGUAUCCAGUUGUGGUGCAUUUAUUCUAGAAAUUUAAUCAAAGAGCAAUGAUAGUACACCCAAAAAUGUAUAUAUCUUAUACUCAUUUAUCCAAAGGCCAAAAUUUGGCCCUUAUUCUAUUAAUAUAUUUUUAAAUAUCUAUUAACUUAUAUAAAUUCACGAUGUAUUUUGCCAUGUGGCAAGUUGUCGUUCACCCUCACAAUCAUUCGAUCUUUUUCAUUUUUUUCAUCAAACUUUCAAUUAAUAUAUUUAAUUAAUACAUUUAAACGUUAUCAUUACCAAACUUUCAAUAAACAAGUUAUCCUUUACCACAUUUUGACUCUUCCAUUUUCCUUUAUGAAACUUUCAAUUAAUAUAUAUAAUUAAUACAUCUAAGCAUUUUCAGUACCAAACUUUUCGUCCACCAAAUUUUUCAUCUCUAAUUAAUUCAUCAAUUCUCUCUCCCUCAUUUUUUUUCAUACACCGUUGCCUUGCUCCCUCUCUCACUAAUGCCCUCCCCCUCUCCGCCGCGGCCAUAGGGAUCGCCGUCAUUUUUAUUAUAAUUAUCGCCAGAGAAGGCUUCGUUGGUUCCAUCCCUGCUACCAAUAGUGAGUAACCUUCGGUGACUAUAGCAAGUGAAGAACACAAAAAAAUAUCUAUUAACUUAUAUAAAUUCACGAUGUAUUUUGCCAUGUGGCAAAUUGUCGUUCACCCUCACAAUCAUUCGAUCUUUUUCAUUCUCUUCAUCAAACUUUUAAUUAAUAUAUUUAAUUAAUACAUUUAAACGUUAUUAUUACCAAACUUUCAAUAAACAAGUUGUCCUUUACCACAUUUUGACUCUUCCCUUUCCCUUUAUGAAACUUUUAAUUAAUAUAUAUAAUUAAUACAUCUAAGCAUUUUCAGUACCAAACUUUUCCUCCACCAAAUUUUUCUUCUCCAAUUAAUUCAUCAAUUCUCUCUCCCUCAUUUUUUUCCAUACACCGUUGCCUCCCUCCCUCUCUCACUAAUGCCCUCCCCCUCUCCGCCGUGGCCGUAGGGAUCGCCGUCAUUUUUAUUAUAAUCAUCGCCAAAGAAGGCUUCGUCGGUUCCAUCCCUGCUACCAAUAGUGAGUAACCUUUCGUGACUAUAGCAAGUGAAGAACACAAAAAAAUAUUCGAUGUUAUCUUAUUAUUAAUUAUUACUUAUAAUUUUUACCUACUGCGAAGCGCGGGCUUUUUCACUAGUUAAAAAUUUAAAAGACUUCGUGAACUCUAUAAUGGAGGGUUCUAAAUUACACACCCCUCUUUAUUUUAAGAUUUACACCUAGCAUUUUCCUUAAUCAAAACAUUAAUUACCCAUUUACCAUUUUUGUUUCAAAUUACAAAAGUACCCUUCUAUUUCCAUGAAACCCCUACAUGCGUAAGAAUGAAAAUGGGUCCAAUAUGGAUUGGACAAUACUCAAUUCAUAUCCAUACAUAUCCAUAUUUUUGUCAGAUCUAUAUACAAAUUUGGAUACUGAUGGGAUACUAAAUUUCUUAUGUAACAAAAAUGGAUUCGAAUACGAGUUUGAUACGGAUAUGAAUUCAAUAUUGAAAAAUAUAUAUAUGAAGCUAAAAGCAAAAAAAAUCAGCAAAAUGCAUGUAAGAUUUUUAAAUUUUAUAAAAAUAUUCAAAAGUAUGAAAAAAAAAAACUGAUGAAUUUUAAAAAAUUAAUAUGAAAAAUAGAUUUAAAGAGGGAAUAGUAUGUUGAAAAUAUAUCAAAGUCAGUUUCGGAUUUAGAUAAUAGGAAUCCGAAUCCGAGUCUGAAGGUAAAAAUUCCUAUACGUAUCCGAAAUUUUUUCAAUUCGGAUCGGGUCGGGUCGGAUCGGGUCGGGUCGGAUAUUAUCCGACCCGUUUUCACCUCUAACACCCGCCCUUUCCCCUCGUCGCUUCCUAAUUUCUCGCGCCUCUUUCUCUCUCUCUCUCUCUCUCUCUCUCAAACGAAUAAUUAGAAAAAAAAAAAAAAUUCCUCGGGCUUUUAUAUUUCUAAACCCUAAUCGAACCUUUCCCUUCCAACGCGUGCGCACUCUCUCUCUCUUCUACAUGAGAAUUUCGCGCAAGGUACGAUCGUUCAUACACCUAAAUCGCCGCCUCCUUUUGUUCUCAUCGCCCGUAGUUGAUUAAACGCGAAUUUUUCGUUUAUUUUUUCGAUUUACGCUUCUUAUUGCUUGAUUGCUGUUAGUUUUAUCAAUUAUAAUCUAUUUACAGGGAAUUGUUUUGAUAGUAAUUGAUGAAGUGGUGCGUAGGAUUGGUGGAUGAUUUGUAUUAUUAAUCUGUAAAAACUUUUCGGGUUGAAGAUUAGGGCAUUCUUUGGUUGGAUUGGGGGGGGGGGACGAGAUAAAUUAUCCCCCUUAUUCUGUGAAAAAUGUGACAAAAAUUGGUCCCGCGCAAUAUGGAUUCUUCUGGAAAAUCUAAGCAAAUCAUGAAAUUCGCCGUCCCGCAAUAAUCUGCGAUGUACUUCAUAAUUCGUGCUUAUAAUGAUGUAAAGAUCAAGCACGAAAUACCCUUUUCUUGGUUAUUGUCAAAUGGCCGGAUUGCCUAAGGAUACUAAAAGUUACUCUGCAUACCCUAAGGAUUUUGCGAAACCUAAAUCCGUGUGUUCAAUCCCUGUCAUCAAGCUUGUCUCAAGACUGUUUCGGUCUUUAUGUUCUUAAAAAGGGAAAUGAUGGGAUUAGCUCGGACAGUUGUGAGGUGUCGUAAAAUUAAGCGCUGUCCCGUUUACUUAAUUCCCCUUCACUUUGUUUCACAGAUCUUUGGAUCAUACGUCACAACACUCUCACCUCGUUCUCUUUCUCUGGAGAAAGUGCAACAGCGUUUCAAAGCAACAUCCUUGUGCGAGCAUUCGAAGAAAAAGUACCAAGAAAUUCAAUUUUAUCUUAGGCCAGAAGAAGAAACAUAUGCUCGGAGAAUCAGGAGAGUUAUUUUGAAAGCUAAUAGUCGGACAGUUGAGGAUGUUAUUCAGUCUCUUCAGUGCGAUGAAAUGUUAUCUGGAUUUCAACUUACAUCUCCAGUUGUUGAUAGUUUACUUCAGAAAUUCGGAGAUGAUUGGAAAUCCGCUUUUAGUUUAUUUGAAUGGGCUAGUUUGCAGAUUAGUUACAAGCAUACUACGUAUGCAUGUAAUAAGAUGGUGGACUUGCUUGGGAAGAUGAGAAAAUGGGAAAGGAUGUGGGAUUUAGUAGAAGAUAUGCGUGAAGGAUGUUCUGUGACUCUUGAUACUAUUGCCAAGAUGAUGAGAAGACUUGCAGGUGGAGGGAAAUGGAAGGAUGCUAUUGUUGUUUUUGAUGAGUUAGAGUCUUUUGGGUUUGUAAGAGACACGGAAACUAUGAAUAUUUUGCUUGAUACUCUUUGCAAAGAGAAGAAAGUCGAGGUUGCCCGUGAAGCAUUUGUCGUGCUCAAGUCUCACAUCCAUCCCGAUGCUUACACGUUUAACAUUUUUGUCCAUGGUUGGUGUAACGCCCGAAGGGUUGAUGAGGCGAUGUGGACAAUUCAAGAGAUGAAAUUGUGGAGACUUAAACCUUCAAUAAUUACAUACUCGACUAUUCUCCAAGCUUAUUGUAACCAAACCAAUUUUCAGAAGGUUUAUGAGCUCCUUGAUCUAAUGGUUUCUGAAGGUUGCCCUCCAAAUGUUGUCACCUACACCACAAUUAUGAACUCACUUGCGAAGUUGGGAAAUUUUGAUGAAGCCUUGGGUAUGGUAGAUAGAAUGAAGUCCUCUGGUUGUAAGCCUGAUACACUAUUUUAUAACUCUUUGAUUAACAUCUUAGGGAGAGGAGGUCAAGUACAUGAAGCUUCGAAGGUCUUUGAGGUAGAGAUGGAGAUGAAUGGGAUUGGUCGUAGUGUGUCAACCUACAAUACAAUGAUAUCUAUUUUUUGCCACGAUGGUCAAGAGCAAAGAGCUUUUACUGUGUUGACUGACAUGGAAAAAGCAUCUUGCAAGCCCGAUCUUCAGACUUAUAGGCCACUUCUCAGGCUAUGUCUCAGUAAAAGAGAGCUAUACGACCACAUCGAGAGGUUGUUGAAUGACAUUAUGGAUAAGCAUAAUCUAAGUCUAGAUCUUGACACAUAUACACUUUUGAUCCAUGGUCUUUGUAGAGUAGGUGACACUGAAUGGGCUUGCCUCCUGUUUGAUGACAUGUUAGGUCGAGAAAUACUGCCAAGAUAUGAAACUUGUAAGCUCCUUAUGGAUGAAGCUAGAAGGAGAAACAUGGAGGCAAAUGUAGAGAGGAUUCAAACAGUGAUGGAUCAACUCGGCAGUGUACCUUAAUAUAGGUUUGAGAUGAUUCACAUUUGUGUUCAUGUGAGGUCGAGUUGCGAUAUCACGUACUGGAGUUCAUGCAAGGUCUACUAGAUAUCAUUUGCUCUUCCUUUUAGAGCAACAAUACCUGUUGAUUGCUUUGUAUCUUUUAUUUUAUUUGUUCAAAUGUAAAUUAGUUUACCUAGCAAAUCUAUUGCCAAAGAAUAUGAAGCAAUUUAUAAUUAAGAUCCUGUAAUAGCAUAUAACUACAGAUCAAUGUUAAUGCUGUCAGUAGAAAGCUACUUUCCAUAAUGUGCUCUUUGUGUCUGGUUAUAGGAUGCUUUGUUGUUAGCAUCUAGUGAUGUUUCUGUUUCCCCUCUAUCUCUUAGUAUAUUCAGCUUAUACUUUCUUGAUCCUUUGAUUCCCUUAAUUCUAAAUAAUAUCUUUUUGGGAUUUUAUCGUUAAGCACCAUUUUUUGGUUCAGAAGGAAACUAGUGGUAGUUUUUGUUAGUCUAUCCUGCAUUACCCUUGGACCGCACUUUAAUUGCACCUCCAUCAUGCAAGUCAAAUGUCUUUUUCAGGGUGCUGGGCAGGGAGGGUGGCUUUGACAUAGGAGCCUCCUUACCAGGUAAAAGCAAAGUGGCGAAAGGUGCAUCAUCUACUUUGUUCCUUUCCUUUUGUUCCCAAAAUUUGAUUGUUUUACAGUCCUUAUUAGCGAAAAGGCUUGAGCUGAUCAUUAUGAAUUAAAAGAAUAGUUGCCAUAAUUAUCCUUUAUAAUUUUGUGUCCUUUGUAAGUCACAAGGAAACAGCAAAAAGCAAGCGUCAUUGUAAUGUCUUAACCAAAAAGUAUGUAGGGAAAAGACAAGUUUUAUCUUUCGUCACUCACAUCAAUUUAGUUGUAUUGUAGCACUUUGCACAGUUCCUUUUUUUCCCCUUCCACAUGUUCUUUAAUCUUGUGAAAAGUAUAUGAAUGAUUGCUAUUCACAAACUACAAACCAAAGAAACGUUGAGAUGAGAUUAAUUACUGAGCACUGACUAGAGUUAGAGAUGAUAAUGCUUACAAACUGUUUGGAAUGUACAAAAGAUCCAUCAUGCAUCAAUCUAACGUUUUUUGUUUCUCGUUAUGUGUUGCAACUUAGUAAAUUUUGCCAUAUACCGUUAGGUGUUACUUUCGAUGAUAAUUGGAGAAUUUUGGAAAUUGUCUUCACAUCGCACAUCUUCUAAGGGACUAUACUAAAUGAAGAUUGGGUGGAAGAUGCUUGGGAGUUUUAUACUUGGUCUAUUCUUGGUUCUUAACUUCUUCAGUACUCAAAUGUUUAGAUUUUGAUCACAUUAGUGUGGCUCGUAAUAGAGUAAGGUUUUUUUAAGUUUCAUUUAUUCUAGAAGGUAUGCGUGCUAUAUUGAUGUACCAUAAUGACUCAUAUGGUUGAAAGAAAUAAUCAUUGGAAAAUUGUAAGUCCUACUUGAUUACGAAAGUUGAGCUUUACUCCCCAAGUGUCUUGCUAGGAGAUUAUUGGUUUUAGACGAUCUGUCUUUGAGUUCUUACUCAAUUAUGGUGGUAUUAUGAAAUAGAGCGGUCUAAAAUAUACAGAGGCUUAUAACAGAAUUUGUACUCUUAUGUGGCAUUGGAUAUACACUGGAAACUAAGUUUAAUAUUGUCUGGAUAAUUACAAUCAUGAUGCUAAUGCUAUAAUUUCCGGUGUUCUAACUUUCUGCUUUGUUCUGGAAGGCAUUAGUGAAACUUUAGACUAACGGGAAGUUGGGAACCUUAGAAAUUCUUAGUUAGGACAACUAUUUAUGUUUGAAUUUUAUUUUCUAUUUAUUUUCUAGAGGUUUCUUGUAUUUUGUCUAUAACAAAUGAUUUCAAAGCAUAUAACAACAAAUAUUUUAUCGGUUCUUCAUUUUUUGGUCAUUCAAAUAGCCGUUGUUUUAUACUGGGUAAGGUUCUAUACUUUAUCCAAUUGAAACAAAAUGAGCUUAUUGUAAUGUAUUCGAUAUUAUAUUUAAAGCAUUCCUGAUAUUUUCAUUAGUAUUUACUUAUUUCCAGCAUUACUCUGUGAGCUUGUUGCAUAUAGUCAACCUUCUUUAUUUAAGCCACUGUAACACAUUUGUUUUGAGUGUUUAAUUUUUUCUAUUUCAACAUAUACUAAGGUUGCAACAUGUCUGACUUGCGGAGACGAGCAACUUUUCAACAUGAAAAUUCAAAAAGGAAAGGGAUAACUGCCUCAAAAAGAGGAACUCAGAAUAAGCGAUGGAGCAGCAUUAUUGAUGACUUUCUAAUUCCAUUCCUAGUGGAGCAAGCACAAGAAGGGUUGAGAGUGGAUAAAGGUUUCAAAAGGCAAGCUUACGUAGCAGCUGCUAAAGCUGUUAACGAACGCUUUAACACUUCAUUUGAUCCUUGUAACGUGGAAAACCAUAUGAGGACGUUGAGGACUAGAUAUAACGAGAUAAAGAAAUGUAGGGAUUUAAGUGGCACAGGCUGGAAUGAGGAACAAAAAGUGAUUACUUUAGACGGUCCAGCCUACCAUAGUUAUGUACAGGUAACUAAUAUACGAUUAUUUCUCGUAUGACAUUUAGUUGUCAAUAAUAUGAACCGUUGUUUUUUUUUUUUUUUUUUUCACUAUGCAGGCACAUCCAAGGGCCUUAGAGUUCCUAAACAGGCCCAUCAAGCAUUAUGAUGCUCUGUACAUCAUAUGCUGUGAUUACCAUCCUAAGACAAAUGACAAUCAAGUCGAAGAGGGGUUAAAUGAAAUCGUUCCCUUUGAAUCUCAAGGCGGUGUGUUUAUGGAGGAGGGUGAUAAAGAUCAGGCAGAAUCAAACCAAGGUGAAGGGUCUGAGCUGCCAGUGAAUGAUGGUCCCUCAUCUUCAUCUUCAAAGGGUGGUGCCAAAAGAGCCCGCAUUAGUGAUGAUUAUUACUUGAGUCAACUUGUUACUAUCGUGGGUGCACUUGCAGAAGCCAUAAAGAAAAGCACGGUUCAUUGGAGUCAAAACUUAUAUGAGAAGAUUGAAGAGAUCGAAGGUUACAACGACAAGGUUAUUGAGUCGGCCUUUGACUAUCUCUACGAAGAUGAGAAGAGAGCUAGAUUAUUUAUGGCAAAGAAUUGCAAUAUGCGUCGUGCGUGGCUUGAGCGGUUUGUAGCAGAACGAUCUCUGUAACUAUGGGCACUCCCAUGAUGCAAUUUUUUGGAAUGUUUUGUGGGCGGAACUAUGCCAUGUAGGAAGCUUUGGGACAAAAGAGGACAAAAGAAAUACUAUGAUGCGGUUUUGUUUUGUAGGCACUCGACUAUGAUGCGAUUUUGUUACGUAGGGACUGGUAGAUACCUUUUAAGAUUUCCCUUCAUUGGAACUUUCAUUUGUUUCCAAGUUGUCCUUUUUGUAAAUAACUAAUUUAAUCCCUCUCUUUUUUAAUUUCAGAUUGUAGUUAGCCUGCUGAGUGUGGGAAUAUUAUCAGCCUGAUUCUAUAUGAUUUGUGAGUUAAAUCUGAUUCUUAGUGUGUUGUUUCCUAACAAACUGAUUGCGAAGCUGCUGGGUUUUAUUUCUACUAAUUGCUUUUUUCUUUUCCCAGCAAUUCUGUAUGUUUGAGUAAAUCAUCGUGCUCUUACUUAUAUAUGAUAUUCUCGGACAAUUGAGUUAUAGCGGAGCUUUAGUUUACGUGUAUAUAUAUGCGAUAUCCGAGUUGAAACUUUUUAUUUCGUUUAUCUUGGUUGUAUAUCAUGGCCUAAGCUGUGCCAGACAUGGGAGAGUAUGUUGUUAUUUCCUGGUAUAUUAUUUGUGUUGGAUUUUUUUUUUUUUAAUCUGGUUUUCUUGGCUGUAGGCUUUCAAUGAUUAUAGCUUUUGCCGGCUCUCAAUACAUCCUGUUAUACUUUUACAGCGUAUUGUCUAACUUUUCUUUUGCAAGUUUUCUGUAUUCCGUAUUUAGGAAUGCAAACAAACUGCAUUUCCCAUGAUGAGUGUUAACUUGUCCAAAUAAUACAAGUACUUAUUCAUGUGUUGUUCAAGCUAUGUAGGUAGUAGAAUUGCACAAAGGAGUUUUUUCAAAAUUAUACGUAGUUGCAACUACACUGCAGUUGUAACUGUAUGUAGAUCUAAAUCUGACAUUUAUUUGGUGCAUUUGAAUCUAACUGUUGAUGCUGUAGUUACGAUUGCAUGAGCAGUCUCGACGGCAGCAAUUGGAACUACGCUUAAAUUGAUUGUAAUUCUAACCGUAACACUUGAAGAGAGUAAUUUUAAAGAAAGAUAAGCUUACCUCCACUUCUUACUAUCUACCCGAUUGACAACAUGUAUAUGCCAAUAAAUCUAUAGCUAACUAUGUCUAUGUCUAGGUCACAGUAUAUAUAUAAGAAGAAAUAAAAAGUUGGUGCAUAUAUAGUAGUAGUAUAGUCAAAUAACAUAAAAAUAACCCAUACAACCACUACUACCCAAGCCAUACUAAUUAAUUAGGUGCCACAUGCAGAUGGAAGCAACACAUAAUUAGGUACCAUAUCCUAAUAGAUAUAAUUCGCUAAGUCAAUAUGUUCUGUUAAUAAGUUAAAUUAACUUCUAUAUAUAAUACACAUGCCCAAUUAAAUAUUUCAACUUAAGUUUAAUUAGCUAGUAGGUUAUAUACUGGUGGGAGCACCUCUCAAAAUACAUGCAACGUACAUGCCCACAUGCCGUAAUUAAUUAUCUCUUUCAUGCAAAUAUACAUAGAAUAUGCAUAAUGGUAGACAGCCUAUAGUAGCAGGGGCUAAUUAAUUAGCAUGCUUCCUAUUCACAUACGUGGACUGUGGAGUCAACAACCUCUCGUGGCUAUUUCAUACACCUAGUAACCAUUAUACAUGCAAAAUCUGCCUUAUAGAAUCAAGAAAAGCAUGUAAUAAGUCAUCCUAUUAAUAGGAUUUUCACAGGAGCAUCUCUCAAAAUUCAAGCUCCAAGAAUCUCGAUAUCACCAUGUACCAAAGAUCUUAAUCACUACAAAAUAAAGGUAACAUAGUAGGGAGUUCAUCUUGUUUGGAUUCUAGAAAAUUAACCCACCAAAAAAAUGCUCUCCAAAUUUCAGAAAACGGGUAGAAGAAGAAGAUGCCGAAGAUAACUUUGCCGCCUUAACAAGCUUGCGCACGUGGUCGUCACCACGCCGUUCACGCGCAAACUCGGCUUCACAAGGUAGCUCACAAAAUUCUUCAUAGCCCUCUCUUCCUCUUGAGCUUCUUCUCGCUCUCCUCUCUCUGCUUAAAGUAGCACAAAACAAAAGAGAUAAGGAUGAGCCACUUGAGCGGUUCCAAAAGAAAACUUAAUUAAAUAGAGCAGCUUCACCUUUUGGGCACUUAUAUUGCCCCAAUGACAAAGUUUGUUGCUCUAACAUGCCAAACUCCCCCAAGGUCUACUCCACUACAUCCUCUCCUCCUACAAAGGGUUUCGUCCUCGAAACUCAACAUCAAAACACAUACCUCUCAAAGUCUCAAACAAAUAGGGGUAAGUCUGUCUCAUAAACUCCUCAAGCUCCCAUGUCGCCUCUUGCUCCUCAUGAUUGCUCCAUAGAACUUUCACAUAGGGAAUACUUCGGUUCCUCAAUACUCGUUGCUCUCGAGCCAAAAUUUGAACCGGUCGCUCCUCAUAAGUCAAAUUUUCGCUCAUCUCUAAUGGAGCAAAAUCGAUCACGUGUGAGGGGUCAAAAACAUAUCUCCUGAAUGUGAAACAUGGAAUACAUCAUGAACUCCAACCAAUCACAGCAGUAAGGCAAUCCUAUAUGCCACUGGUCCAACUCACUCCAACACUUCAAAUGGCCCAAUAAAUCAUGGACUGAGCUUCCCAUGCAUUCCAAACCUCUUUAUUACUUUAGAUGGCGAGACCUUUAACAAUACAUGAUCUCCAAUCCGGAACUCAAGAUCUCGUUGUCGUGUAUCAGCAUAGCUUUUCUGUCUCCUUUGGGCAGUCACGAGAUGUCGUUGUGCAAUUCUGACAUUCUCUUCCGUUUCCAUCAAAAUAUCAGGGCCCAAAGCCUUCCUUUCACCUACUUCAUUCCAAUACAAAGGUGAUCGGCACUUUCUUCCAUAUAAUGCCUCAAAUGGAGCCAUCUUGAUGCUUGCUUGAUAACUGUUAUUAUAAACAAAUUCCGCUAUUGGCAAGUGUUGAAACCAACCUCCACCAAACUCAAGGACACAUGCUAUCAACAUAUCCUCCAAAAUCUCGAUCGUUCUCUCAGAUUGUCCAUCAGUCUGUGGAUGAAGGCUGUGCUAAACUGUAACUGGGUCCCUAAGGUUGUCUGUAAACUCUUCCAGAAAUAGGAAGUGAACCUUGAGUCUCUAUCCAAUAUAAUAGAGGUGAGUACUCCAUGAAGUCUGACGAUCUCAUCUAAAUACACUUGAGCGAGUCUAUCUAAGGACCAAGUCAUCUGCACAGGUAUAAAGUGGGCAGAUUCGGUCAAUCUAUCCACGAUAAUCCAUAUCGCAUCAUGCACGCCCUGUGAUCGCGGUAAUCCAACUAGAAAAUCCAUAGUGACCAUAUCCCACUUCCAAACUGGAAUAGGAAGAUUCUGAAGCUUGCCAGCUGGUACACGAUGCUCAGCUUUCACUUGUUGGCAAAUCAAACACUGAGCUACAAAUCUUCCAAUGUCUCUCUUCAUUCCAGUCCACCAAUAAUGUGCCUUUAAGUCUUUAUACAUUUUAGUCCCUCCAGGAUGCACAAUAUAAGGUGAACUACGAGCCUCUUUCAAGAUCCCCUCUCGAAGCUCCAAAUCUACAAGCACACAUAGGCGAUCUCGAAAUCUUAAUAUUCCAGAGGCAUCAACACUGCACUCCCCUAUCUGCCUACUCUUAAUCUCCGCUCUAACUCUAGUCAAAUACGGAUCUGAACUCUGCUUCUCUUUUAUCCUUUCCAAAAGAGUGGGUUGCAAAACCAUAGACAUAAUUCUUGCAGUAAUCCCAGAGGAUACAAUCUCAAGUCCAAAUCGCCUCAUAUCCUCCAGUAAUGGCGUCUGCCUCGUAAUCAUCAUGCUCAAACUCUCUAUCAAUUUACGGCUCAAUGCAUCAGUCACUCCACCAUCUCCCCACUCCUCUCCCACUUCUCCAUCAUUUCAUCCACUUCUCCACCAUUCCCUUCACUUCUCCAUCAUUUCAUCCACUUCUCCACUAUUCACUCUACUUCUCCACCAUUCCCACCACCCUCUCUCUAUAUAAAGAAAAGCGAAUAUAAAAAAGAGAGAGGAUUGUACUCACAAAAAAAAAAAGAGAAAAGAAACUUUGAUAAAAAAAAAGGAGCCAAUUAGAAAGGCUAGUUUAGAUUCUCUCACUCUUAUUUUCUCUUUUUCUUCUCUCCUAGUCAAGUGUGAGGACUGAGAAUUUGGCUGUAUAGCUAAACUCUUUGUUGACAAUAUUUUUAUGUGUAAUUUAAUUACAUUAGCACUCGCCAAGUUUCAGAAAAAAACGAAUUAGGAUGGAGAAGUUACGCAACCUUUAGUAAUCACUUAAAGUGAAAAGUAACUCGGGUUUUCCAGAGAGGCCAAUCAGUGGAGAUGGCUUCUGGUGCGUAUUGGACUUCAUUCAUAGUGAUCCAAUAGUUCGUUUUCAACAGUUCAAUUACCUUGGACCCAAUGGCAGUGAGGGAUUUGGAUUUUGAUGCAUGGUUUUCGAGAAAAAGGAAUUUUUAUCGCCAAGAAGGUUUUGGAGAAUCAGAGAGAGGUUGGCUUUCACCACGAAUCGGCGACCAAACCGAACAAAAAAAAUUGUGAGUUAGAUGCCCCAGUCGUGCUGAACGUGCUGACGAAGUCCUUUCGCAAAUCCAACAGACGGAUCGCCCAGAAAUUCAAAAUGUUCCCAAAAGGUUCGAAAUUAGCAAAGCGUAAAAUCCGCAAAACACCCUAUAUUUUAUAUACCAUUUUGCGUGAAAUCGAACCUGGAGGUAUAUCCGUGCGAUUUACUCGCGCUGUGAGGGACUCAGCUAAAAAUACUAAUCUUUGGUGUACUUACUUGGAAAUUUACUACCUCAUAUAUUUGUGCUAGCUAGGGUUUUCAUGGAGAAAACCCUAGCCCUAGCCAGCCACCCUCAACUGAGACCUCCCCAGCCGCCUUACCACCCUCCCAUACCCUCGUUGCGCGCAUCCCGGCUGCCGGCACGCGCCUCCAGCCGUCGGAAAGCCACCAACUUCUCCAUCUCCCUGCCUUUUGUGGCCUUCAUCCUUUCUGCCGCUUGGUAGCACCUUGGCUGCCUUCCUCCGACCCCCGGAGACCUCCCCCGCUGGUCACUGCCGUUCCCGCGCGCCGCCGCUGCCGUCCCUGGUAGCUCGCGGCCAGCCUGGGCAGGCUCGGGCUGACCUUGCUGUCGUCCUCCGGCCUCCGGCGACCCCUCGCCGUCGCCUCGUAGUUCCCCGGCCGCCGCUGUGGCCACUGAGAUUAGCUAAACCCGAGCCGAGCCCUUGCAGGCUCGGCUCGGCUCACUUCGCCGCCUCCCACCGUCGGCCAGCGCGAGCCCUGGCCUCCUCCGACCGGCCGCACCUGCCUACUGCUAGCACUCCCGCCGCUAGAGCCCCCUGCCGGCCGGACUGGAACCGAUCUCUUCGUCGUCCCGUGUGGCUAGGGCAUCGUUGCCCCCCGCCGCCGCCGCCUCCCGUCACCGGCAGACGCGCACCCUGACCUCCCCACAUAGGCCGCACCCACCUGCCACCGGCGUGCCCGCCUUCCGGCAGCCGCCGGCCAUGCCCUAGCUCCCCCCUGGCCGAUAAGCUUUAUUAAGCUGUUUUCUGCAUUAUUUCUUGUUCGGGUCGCUAUUCCGGCGACCCGAGGAAACCCUGAUUCUUUCGAAAGUGAGUACGAUGAUCCUUGAUCAGUGCCGAUCAUCGUGCUCAUCUCCGUUGGGGUAAGAAAGCCCUCGGUUUCCGAGUUAAGCGCGGUUUAGGUUCAGUGCGCGCCAUUCGCUGAUUUUUUGUGUCGCUCCCACGCUCUCCACAGUGGACAGCCAUGCUCCGGAUCAAGAACACAGCCUCCGGCACGUUGAGACUUGUCAACGUGUGUCUCGACCAGCCUCAAAAAUCCUCGGUUUAUACUGCUGAGCCGUAAAACCUCGAAAAUCACAUAAAAUAAUGAGAUUUUAUGUGAUUGUAGGGACUUUUAUGCAAAUGUAGACUUCGUAGCUACUGUGGGCAGUGUGUGCGGGUGGUGGGUAACCUACGAACUCAUUGUCUAAGGUCUGAGGCCUUCAUGGAAAUCGAGUAUCAAUUUUCGAUGCGCUUUUCGGUAAAAUUCGCCGACGGAACGCGGUUUUGGUUCGGAUUCUUCCGAUAGUGCUAAAGCGAGUUAUGUUUUGUCACUAAGCCUUGUUGGCUGGUCACUUAUGUUGUUCCGAAAGCCCGGAGAUGACGGGUGAGCGACGGUAGGUUCCGGUGUCGAAAUUGACACUUUUGGGAACCCGGAUCGGAGCGAUUAUCCAACGAAUCGUUUUGAUGUGCGUUUACGUGUUUGCUACCAGGACACCUUUAUUAUGGUGUUGUGUGGCGGCGGGUGAUUCGUGGCGCAAGUCGGUGAAUCCCGGGACACUUUGUGGGUCCCCAGGACACUUCGUGGGUCCCGGCAGAGCCCCGGUGUGAUUUUCGGGACUUUCGGCGAGUUGCGUGUUUGAAGUAAAAUAAUACUUAUCCUAUAUAUAUAGGAUGAAACAAUCCUAAUCAUAAUCAAAAAACCAAGUCGGACUCAUACAAUCCUAUUAGGUCUCAUGUUGACAAUAAAAUCUUGGGGCCAAUAAUUAUAAUUUAAAUCCAAAAUAGGCCCAUUCAUAAAUGUAAGUUAGUGGGUCUCAUGAAAGCCCUUUAAAAUUUUAAACGUAUACAAUAAUUUGGGCCUCAUUUCAGCCCAUUGAAUAUUAUCAUUUGUGCCCAACAAAUUUCAUUAAAGUGAGCCCGAUCAAUGACGGCCCAUAUCCACACCCUAGAAAAUAUUUGUUAUCCUAACAACCCCAUUCAAAAUUUGAUUUCAAAUCAUAGCCGAAUCAAAAUUCGAUUUCGAAUUUUGAAUUCCCAAACAACUUCCAAAAUAUCUUCCAACAAAUCACAGCCAAUUCAAAAUUCGAUUUCGAAUUUCGAAUUUCGAAUUCCCAACCAACUCCCAAAAUAUCUUCCAACAAAUCACAGCCGAUUCAAAAUUCGAUUUCGAAUUUUGAAUUCCCAAGCAACUCCCAAAAUAUCUUCCAACAAAUCACAGCCGAUUCAAAAUUCGAUUUCGAAUUUCGAAUUUCCAACCAACUCCCAAAAUAUCUUACAACCAAUCACAGCCGAUUCAAAAUUCGAUUUCGAAUUUCGAAUUCCCAACCAACUCCCAAAAUAUCUUCCAACAAAUCACAGCCGAUUCAAAAUUCAAUUUCGAAUUUCGAAUUCCCAACCUACUCCCAAAAUAUCUUCCAACCAAUCACAACCGUUUCAAAAUUCGAUUUCGAAUUUCGAAUUCCCAACCAACUCCCAAAAAUCUCCCAACCAACCACAUCCAUUCAAAUUUUUAAUACCUAUCCAUCCAAGAACCGAUUCAAAAUUUGAUUUCGAAUUUCGAAUUCCCAACCAACCCCCAAAAUAUCUUCCAACCAACCACAACAACCGAUUUUGAAUUUCGAAUCCCCAACCAACUCCCAAAAUAUCUCCCAACCAACCACACCCAUUCGAAUUUUGAAUACAUAUCCAUCCAACAACCGAUUCAAAAUUUUAUUUCAAAUUUCGAAUCCCUAACCGACUCCUCAAAAUAUCUCUCGCCGCCCCUUCUAUUAUAAAUAUGAGAAUCAAAAUCAAUAUGGAGACGAUACAAAAAGAGAAGAGAACAAAUAGAUAGAGAGAAACGAUAGUGAUACAGAGAGAGAUUACGAUAAAAAGAUGAGAAAUAAUAUUAUUUUCACUCUUGCUACACGCGUUCCCACGUACAAAAAAAUUCAAGGAAUAAGAGAUCGCCGAGCCGCAAAAAGGAGGAGAGAUCGCCGAGCCACUUCAUCCAAUUCGUCAUCUGAUCAACAGGUAAAAAGAAAAAAAGAAAGAAGAAAAAAAAUAAAAAAAAAUAUAAUAAAACACAUCAAAAAAAAAAAAAAUAAAGAUCUCUUUUCUUCCCCCUUCCCUUUUUUCUUUCUUUUUUUUUAGGUCCUACUACCGUAGUCAUCCAUACCAUCUAAACGACUUCGAUAGGAGAGUGGAGGGAAGCCAAUGGCUUCCCGUUUCUUCGGACCUCUCAAGACCCCAUUCGAAGCUGUUAAUUGAUGGAAUGGGUGAUCAACAUUGCCGCGACCACCUCGAGCAUCGACGGUUUGGUAUUUUCGAAAGAAAAUGGGAGAGGAAUCAAAGAUUCCCCUUUUUUUGGACCCUUCAAUCUCUUUUGAAAAUAUCGAACCAAAUCCGAUGGCCGAACAGAUCCGCGCCACCGUCAUCAUCUUCACCGACGUCAUCUCCAACAUCGCCGGUUAAAUAUUUUCGAAAGAAGAGGGGAGGAGAAUUUUCGAUUCUCCGUUUCUUCGAACCCUUCAAUAUCUUUCGAAAAUGUCAAAUCAAAUCCGACGGCCGAACAGAUCCACGCCACCGUUAUCAUCUUCACCGACGUCAUCUCCAGCAUCGCCGGUUUAAUAUUUUCAAAAAAAAAAGAGGGGAUGGGAAUCAAAGAUUCUCCGUUUCUUCGGACCUGGCCUUCAAUUCCUUUCGAGAACAUUGAAUCAAUCCACGAAACUUUCAAACCAGUUUAGAUUCAAGCCAAAUCGAGAUCAAGCGGGGAUUUCUUCGGACCCCAAAUAGAGAUCAAGCGGGAAUUUCUUCGGACCCCAAAUCAAGAUCAAAACGGAAAUUUCUUCGGACCCCAAAUCGAGACUCAAACGGGGAUUUCUUCGGACCCCAAAUCAAGAUCNUCGGACCCCAAAUCAAGAUCAAAACGGAAAUUUCUUCGGACCCCAAAUCGAGACUCAAACGGGGAUUUCUUCGGACCCCAAAUCAAGAUCAAAACGGGGAUUUCUUCGGAUCACAAAUCAAGAUCAAAACGAAAAUUUUUUCGGACCCCAAAUCAAAUUAAAAUCAAAAAGGGGAUUUCUUCGGACCUCAAAUCAAAUUGCGAAAUCAAAAGAAAAUUUUUUCGGACCCCAAAUCCAAUUGCGAAAUCAAAAGGGGAUUUCUUCGGACCCCAAAUCAAAUUAAAAUCAAACCGGGAUUUCUUCGGACGCCAAAUCAAGAUCAAAACGAAAAUUUCUUCGAACCCCAAAUCAAAUUAGAAUCAAAAAGGGAAUUUCUUCGGACCCGAAAUCGAAUUCGAAAAUUAAAAGGGAAUUUCUUCGGACCCCAAAUCGAAUUGUAAAAUCGAAAAGGGAAUUUCUUCGAACCCCAAAUCGAAUUGCAAAAUCAAAGAAGAUUUUCUCGGAUCCGAAAUAGAAUUGAAAAGAAAACCAAGUCCACGUAAAAACCCAAAUCCAAAAUCCAAAACCAAAUCACUCCACAAAUAAAACCCAAAUCCAAAUCCAAAACCAAAUCAGUCCACAAAUAAAACCCAAAUCCAAAUCCAAAACCAAAUCAAUCCACAAAUAAAACCCAAAUCCAAACCCAGAACCAAACUAAGUCCACAAAUAAAACCCAAACCCAAAUCCAAAUUCAAACCAAAUCAAUCCACAAAUAAAACCCAAAUCCAAAUCCAAAACGAAAUCAGUCCACAAAUAAAACCCAAAAAAUCCUUGCCCANAAAUCCAAACCCAGAACCAAACUAAGUCCACAAAUAAAACCCAAACCCAAAUCCAAAUUCAAACCAAAUCAAUCCACAAAUAAAACCCAAAUCCAAAUCCAAAACGAAAUCAGUCCACAAAUAAAACCCAAAAAAUCCUUGCCCAAAUCCAAAUCCAAAUCAGUCCACAAAUAGAACCCAAAACCAAACCUAAAUUCAAACCAAGUCCACAAAUAAAACCCAAAUCCAAACCCAAAUUCAAACCAAGUCCACAAAUAAAAUCCAAAUCCAAAUCAGUCCACAAAUAGAACUCAAAUCCAAACCCAAAUCCAAAUAAGUCCACAAAUAGAACCCAAACCCAAACCCAAAUCCAAAUAAGUCCACAAAUAAAACCGAAACCUGAACCCAAAUCCAAAUCAGACCACAAAUAGAACCCAAACCCAACUUCCGACUUGGACUCAUGAACCAUACCAAAGUUCAUGAACCAAGUCCCAAAACUCAUGAACCAAGUUCAUGAACUAUGAACUAAAUUUCAUAAACCAAACCCCGAAAUCCAUAAACCAAGUUCAUGAACCAACUGAACCAAGUUCUUGAACCAUGAACCAAGUUUAUAAACCAAAUCUAUGAACCAUAUCUAAUGAACCAUGAACGAAGUUUAUGAACCUUACCCAAGUCCGUGAACCAAACACCACGAACCAUACCCAAGUUUAUGAACCAAAUAUGAUAAACCAUACAUCAAACCCUAUGAGUCAUAAACCAAGUUCAUGAACCAAAUAAACCAAGUCAUGAGCCAUAAACCAAGUCCAUAAACCAAAUCAAACUCCAUACACCAAACCCCCAUGAACCAUAUACCAAGUUCAUGAACCAAAUCCCAUACACAAAAUCCAUGAACCAUAUCCAAGUCGAUAAAUCAAACUCCGUACAUCAAACUCUAUAAACCAUAUCUAAGUUCAUGAACCAAACCUCAUGAACCAUACACCAUACCCAUUAACCAAAUCCCAUGAGUCAUAUACCAAGCUCAUGAACAAUGAACCAUACCCAUGAACUAUAACCAAAUCUAAUGAACCAUGAACCAUAUCCAAGUUCAUGAACCAAAUCACAUACCCAAACCCUAUGAACCACAUCCAAGUCCACGAAACAAAUCCCAUAACCAAAUCUCAUGAACCAUAUACCAAACCUCAUGAACCAUACACCAAAUCCUAUCAGCAAUAUACCAAACCAUAUCCAAAUCUCAUGCCAAUACCCAAAUCUCAUGAACCAUAUAUGAACUAAAUCAUACCCAAAGUUCAUCGUGAACCUCUUUUUAACUCUAGCACAUAUACCUAGAGUAAAAAUUAAGUAUCGACUACCCCUAAUAUAUAUACUUAGGGCUAAGUCAAUCAUCUUAGCACAUAUAACUAAGGCAAAACCAUCUCCAGAUCGACAGAGUUUUAAAUUAUACACUUAGAAUUCAGUCAAAUGAUAUCAAGUUCAUUCGAACUCUAACACAUAUACUUAAAGUUCAUUCAACUAACCCUAAUAUAUAUCCUUAGGGUCUAGCCUACCUCUUGCUCUAGCACAUAUACCUAGAGUGGAAAUCAAACCCAACUCGACUAGUUCUAACACAUACACUUAGGGUCUAUUCAGCCUUUUGCUAUAGGACAUCUACCUAGAGUGAAAUUCAUACCCGGUCGAGUUCUAACACAUAUACUUAGAACCCAUGCAAAUCAAAUCCGACAAACCCUAACGCAAUACCUUAGGGCUUAGUCAGAUCUUCACUCUAUUAUAUAUAACUAGAGUGAAAAAUAUAUUAAACUUGGUUAAUUCUGAUACAUACACUCAGGAAUUAGCCACUCUAUACUCUCGGAUAAUAUCAAAUCCGACCUAUCUCAAUACAUAUACUUAGGAUUUGGUCACAUCUCCACCUUGGAAUAUACAACCAAGGUGAAUAUAAUUAAACUCUAAGACAUAUACUUAGAGUCAAUUAGACUCUAAUGCAUACACUUAGAGUUUAAUAUUGACCAGGUCUUAACACAUAUACUUAGGACCUAGUCAACUUUAGAUCCAACUGAAUCCUAAUACAUAUACUUAGGGUUCAAUCAAUAAAUCAAGAUUCGAUUCAUUCAAUCCCAUCUAUAAAGGUCUCUUAACCGAAGGUGCCCCAAUGCCAUGGGGGUAAUUAACAGUAGAUGCUUGCAUCUAUUGGAAGCCAUGAAUCCGCGAUACCUGAUACCCAUACACAUAUGAAUACUAAUCUGAAUCAUGAAUAUUACCCCACGGCAAAACCCAUCGACCGUGCGAGGUGCAUCAUUCAUGGUGGCAGAUAUUGCGAUAAUCGGUUUUAAGAAACCAAUUCCCGUGGGAUUAAUUGUGGGAUUGUGAGUUCAGUAUUGCAUAUUUGUGGGUUGGAUGCUAACCCGAUAGACCUCCCAUAGGUCCGGUUGACGUUCUCUCAUAGUCGGAAGACAGGCGCUACACUGGUACAGAUGGAUACUUCGAUCCGAAGUCGGUACAGUGGUGCACGCUCGGUGACAUUCUCUCUACCCUCUAGUUCUACUACUUUGCAUAUCUUGUGAUGAGCCUAGCACCCUUACUAUUUCUCACUAUUGCUCUACUUGGUUAGUUUGCAUAUUCAGUAUUAUGAUUUAGAGGUAGAGCAGGUUUUCGGUUGUACUUGAGAUCUAAGACCUAUUUAGUCAGUUCAGUGAUCCUGGUAUCAUGACCUAUUCGGUCUAUUCGGUUACUUGAUGACCUAUUCGGUCUGUUCAGUUACUUAAUGACCUAUAUGGUCGACAUACCCCUCAGUGUAGGAUUCUCGACUAGUGGCCGACGGUUGGCUAUUGAGUAUAUCAGCAUUGAUCGCCCAAAACUCGUACGCAUUUCACGAACACCAGCGGUCUGAUCCACCGCUAGGGAGUGUUCUUUUCCGAAAACGUGGUUAGAUGUACCAGCCCGUGAGCCCAGCAGCCUAAUCUAGGUUAUAUGCAGGUAGAGUGGCAGUGACACAGACUUGAGGUCUGCGGAUCAACAUGACAUGUUUCUGAUUGGGUAUCUUUGGACUUAUCGUCCGGUUGAUGCAUGCAUACAGUAGUGGUAGUGGUUUAUGUAUAUCAUGUUUCCUUAUUUAUUAUUUCUACAGUAUUACCGUUGUUUAUACUCUUAGUUAUCCUCCUUAACUGGUGAGUACCCCUCGCCCUCGUCGGCUUGCGGUACCUACUGGAAAGGGAGACAUGUGUACAUGUUCUCACCCCCCACCCCCUUUCAGGUGACGUUGCUGGUCCGAAUAGGGACGGUACGUGAGGCACGUGGUUAGUGGUCGUAGAGUGUUCCGGCCCAGUGACUUACGGUUAAUUUCUAAUCUGUUUUCCACGAGUAAAGUAACUUAGAUAUUUAUGAUUCAGUUGGUUCUAUUUUAUUUGGAUACAUAUGGUUUGUGAAUUUAAAUAAAGUACUCAUGGUUUUCAUGUAAAAUAUUGGAAAUGAUUUUCUACCCCUCGUGGUAGCUUAUUUUUAAGAAAAAGAUUUUCGUGUGGGAAACGGUUUUAAAAAGAUGUAAGGACUGAGAUUUUGAUAGUGCAAUUAGACUCUCUGUUGAUGAUGUUUAUAUGUGUAAUUUAAUUACAUAAGCAUUCGUCAAGUUUCAGGAGAAAAUGAGUUAGAACGGAGAAGUUACGCGAUUAUUAGUUUUUACUUAAGUGAAUAGUAACUCCGAUUUUCCGGAGAAGCCACGGAGUAGAGUUGGCUUUCGGCGCGUAUCGGACUCCGUUCAUAACGGUCCAAUAGCUCGUUUCGAUCGGAUCAGCUAUUCUGGAACCAAUGGCACUGACGGAUUUUAGAUUCGAUGAACGAUUUUCGAGAAAAAGGGAUUUUAUCGAAAAGAGGGUUUUCGCUCUUUGCUGUUCUUGCAUAAUGAGACUCCUCGUGCUCUGUGUAUGCGACCUAGAGUAAGGUGAGGGAUGUUACAUGUACCUACUAGUGGUAGGAGAUUCAAAUUUGAAUUUGAAUCUAGGAUUUAGCGGGUUUACACAUUGGUAUAUGUGUGUGGUUUUUGGAAAUUGGAGAGCGGACGAGUUUUGUCGCGAAUCCGUGACCGAUUGAUGUGAACCAAAAUCGUACAUUUAUGGUCCCCGUCGUGCUGAACGCGAUGGCGCAAUCCGUUGGGAAUUCUGAUGAACGGAUUGCCGGAUAUCGCAUGAUGUUCGAAAAGGGGUCUAAUGUGACUAAUUGGAAAUCUCGCAAAAGUCCCGAUAUUUUAUGUACCGAAUCGCACGAGAUCAAAUAUGGAGGUGCGAAUACGCGAUUGUUACCCACUAUGAUGGACUGGGUAAGAAAUACCAAGCUUCGGUGGACUUUUGUGCAAAAUUGCACUUUGUAUACAAUGUGCAUCUAGGGUUUCUAUGCACGAAACCCCAGAUCUACUCGACCCAGCGCCCCAUCUGUGCCCUAGCCGCCAUCUGCAGGUCCAUGCUCUGGCAGUGUGCGCACCCCGGCCGUCGGCGAGCUUCCCCGGCCGCGGAAUUGCUUGGUCAACCUCUUUUCUCCACCUUGCCACCACCCCCUCGGCCUUCGACAUCAGAGAAGGUCCAAGACACCCUAGGAAGCCUUUCCCUCGGCCGAGACCCCUUUCCCGGCGCAGUCCCCGCCGGCCUCCGCCGGCCCCGUGCUACGCCGGAGCUGCCCGAACUCCCUGUGGCCAGCAGCAGUCACCCAGGUCGAGCCUGGGUGAUCCCUGCCUCCGCGCGCCACCGCCGUUCUCCAUCGGUCGCGCCGCCCUCCGGUGACCUCCGGCGUGCCCCCGCGCGCCAUCGCCGCCGCUCCCGACGCCGCCGGCCGCCGCUCUCCCUCCCUGCGGCCGCCCAAACCUUGAACGGGCCGAGACCUGGUCCUCUCGACCACCGCGCGUCGCCGCCACCCGAAGCAUGGUGCGCCGACCUUCCUCAACCUCCGGCGACGUGCCGCCGACGCCCCAACCUUCCUCCGGCCGCCGCUAUGGUCGCUGCUACCUUUGGAGCCCGUGGUGAACCCGUGCGGGCUCGGUUUGGUCCAGCAUCGCCGCCGCCGUCUUCCGCCGCCGUCCAGCGUGAGCACCGGCUCUGCCUGGACGGCCGCACUCGUCCACCGCCGGCGCCCCCGCCGCCGAAGCUUCCUGUCGGCCGAACUAGGCAUGUGCCUUCCUCGGGUUUGGGUGACUAGGGCAUCAGUGCCUGCCGUCGCCGCCGCCUCCCGACGCCGGCUGACGCAUCCCUCGGCCUCCCUGCAUCGCCUGAACCCUCCUACCGCCGGUGCUCCCGCCGUCCGGCCGCCGCCGGGCAGCCCUAGCUCUCCCCUGGCCGGUAAGCUUGAUUUCAGCCUUUCUGCGCAUAGUCUCCUGUUUAGAUCACUGUUCCGGCGACCCGGGGCUGUUCCGAUGCCCCCGGAGGUGAGCACGGUGAUCGUCAGUCAGUUCUGAUCACAAUGCUCACCUCACGUAGGGUCAGAGAGCUCCGGAUCAGUUAGUCACAUGUGUUUUAGUUUCAGUGUGCACUGUUUCGUUGAACUUCGUGUUGCUUGUGCGCGUCCCACAGUGGCCGAAAUUGCUCCGAAAGGUGAGCACGGCCUCCGGCACGUCGAAACCUGUCGAUGGGUAUCUUGGCUCGGCUGAUUGACCUCUGGUUUGCGUGGACGGACCAUAAAAGCGCCGAAAUCACAUAAAAUAAUGUGAUUUCGGGUAUUCGGAAGGCCUUUUAUGCAACUUUGUUCGUCGUGGCUACUCUGGGCAGCUUGGAUGAGCUGUGGGUGACCUCUGGACUGAUUGUCCAAGGCCCCAGACCUUUGCGAAGAUCGAAAAUGCAUUUUCGGUGCGUUUGUCGGCAAAAUCCGUCGACGGAACGCGGUUUUAGUUCGGAAUUCUUCCGACGGUGCCUCGUGAGCAUUUGUUGAGUCGUUAAGCCUUGUUGGCUGGUCACUCACAUCAUUUCGAGAGUUCAGAAAUGACGGGUGAGCGACGGUGGGUUCCGGUGUCGAAAUAGACACUUCCGGGAACCCGGAUCGGAACGAUUAUCCGACGAUAAUCGUUUUGGAAUGAGUUAAGGUCUCUGCUGCCAAGUCUCAUGUAAAUUUUGUAUUUAGGGGCAGCGGGUGACUCGUGGUACGAUUCGGUGCGUUCCGGGACAUUUCAGUGGUCCCGACGGAGUCCCGGUGCGAUUUUCGGGACUUCCGGCGAGUUACGGUAGUCGGUUUUGGGAAACUGAUCUCCGUGGGUUUGUUAGAGGGAUUAUGAUUUAGUGUUUCUUAGUUGUGGGUUAGACACUAACCCAGUGGACCCUCCUUAGGUCCUGUUGACGUUCUUUUGCAGUCAGGAGACAGGCGCGACAGUUGUACAGGUGGGUACUUCGAUCCGACGUCGGUACAGUGGUGCACGUUCGGUGAUGGUUUCUUACCCUUGCUCCUUUGUUAUUAUCCAUGCAUACGUUAUAUAUUGAGCUUUGCACCUCUGUUGUUUACAUUACACCCACGUUGUUUGAUUAUACUCUACUCGUUGUUUGCAUGCUUAGUAUCCUGAGUAGGAGUAGAGUAGUUCUAUCCGCAUCUGUAUCUGUUGACCUAGUUGGUCUGCUGUGCAUUCUGUAUCUGUUGACCUAGUUGGUCUGCUGUGCAUUCCGUAUCUGUUGACCUAGUUGGUCUGUUGUGCAUUCCGUAUCUGUUGACCUAGUUGGUCUGUUCUGCAUUCCUCUACUCAGUUAUUUCCAUGUUGAUAUCAUGCUUAGGAGUAGAGUUGACUUAUCUGUUCACUAUAUCUGUGAUUUGGUUGGGCGGUUCCCCUAUUUUGAUAUCUAUGACCUAUUCGGUCGAGUUGCUACAGUUCUAUCUUGACAUACGUAGCCGAUUAGUUGCUGAUGGCCUAUACGGUCGGUGUGCCCUGAGGGGCUGGAUUGUCGGCUAGUUGCCGAUGGAUGAUCUUUGAGCAUACUACAUUGAUCGCCACUGCAGGUACGCAUUUCACGAACACCAGCGGUCUGAUCCACCGCAAGAGGGUGUUCUUUUCCGGAAAAGUGGUUGGAUUGCCAACCCGUGAGCCCAGGGGCUUUAUUGCGAGGGUAUAUGCUUCUGACCCAGGGGCUUCAUUGCGAGGGUCAGGUACUGUGCUUCUGACCCAGGGGCUUCAUUGCGAGGGUCAGGUACAGGUUGAGCAGUGUGGCAUGGGCCUGAGGUCUUCGGACCAAUAGGGCAGCGAGAUUGGGUACUUUUGAGCUUAUCGUCAGUUGACGCAUGCAUACAGUAGCUGUAGUGUUUAUUUUCAGUACAUCCUUAUCUGUUUAUUGUAGCUACUGUUUUAUUUACCUGCAUCUAUACUUGUCAGCUCCUUACUUAUCAGCAUCUUUACUUACCAGCACUUAUGUCUAUCUAGUUCUCCGUGUUGUUGUAUAGCUCUCUUCCUGAUCCGGUGAGUACUCCUCGCCUUCUUCGGCUUGCGGUACCCACUGGGAGGGGAGACAUGUUUACAUGUUCUCACCUCCCCCACCAUUUUUCAGGUAUCGCGGGCGAUGAGUAGUGGGACGAGACGUGAGGUACGUGUGUAGCGGUCGAUAGAGCUUCCGACCCAGGUUAUUUCGAUUUAGUUAUUAUCCUUGUAUUUCUGUUGUUAUAUAGUUUAGUUGGUUUAUGUGGUUCAGUGUUUAUUUACAUUUGAAAAUGUGGAUUUCUGAAUUUUGUAAAAUAAAAGAUUUUCUACCCCUCGUGGUAGCGUUUUUAAAAAAAUAAAGGUUUCUGUGUAGGAAACAGUUUUCAAAAGAUUUUUGUGGAUUUCUGUUUAAACCUUGAAUGUAAAACUGUGAUGUGAAUGGUGAAUGUAUGAAUGUAUAGUUAUCUUUAUAUUCGUCUGGUUGUGGUUGUAUCCUGGUUGUACUGUGUAUUUGAUCGACGCCGUGCAAAUACAGGGGAGACUCUGUCCGUAUGAACAGUGGAUUUCCUGUAUUUGUGGCGGAUCUGGCAUACUCUGGGGUCAGGUUUUCAAAAAAAAAAAAAAAUUUAGACGCUUUUCCGCUUUGUUUUAAACUGAAAAGAGACCCCGGGGCGUGACAAAAGAUUUUAUCAUUCUUCAUGAGAUUUAGUAUUUCAAAAUAAGUUUUCGGAUGGAAAACGUUUUAAACUAAUAGAUGUGAAUUUAUAAUGAAAAUAUGAUAAACUUGUAAUUGAAUGAAUAUAAAAUAGUUUAUGUGAUGUGGUGAUUGUAUGUGUCUAGUUAUACAUUGUGGUUGUAUCUUGUACUUGUGCGACACCGUGCAAAUAUAGAGAAGACUCUGUCUGUGUGAACAGUGGGUUUCUGUAUUUGUGGCGGAUCUGACAUCCCUUGGGCUCAAGGUUUUAAAAAAAUAAAAUAAAAUUGGGCACUUCCGCAUCGAUUUUAAAACUUCAAAGGGACCCUGGGACGUGACAUCAAGGCACUCCGUACAUCGAGCUUUCUAUGCACACUGGGCUACACAUGUCGUCAUCAACCUCUACUAUGCCGGGCCAUCAUCAACCAAUAAAAGACGACCGCUCUUCGGCAUUCCUACACCGUUGCUAACUAUCGUCGCCCCGUCAUCAUUGAUCCCGGAGUGGUGCAUGUUCCCUUUUGCUGUUGUGGCGUCAUCAUCGACUAAGGAGGUGACCAUCCGUCUGCUGCUAUUGCGCUGACAACAACAACAACGACGAUCCGCUUGAUGCUUCACCAUUUGGGGUGGAGAAAGGCGAUGACGACAACGGCGACGACGAGCGGUGGAGAAGGCGACGACGACAACGACGGCGAUGAUCCGCUUUACGCUUCGCCGUCGGCGGUGUUGGACCUGCCUAAAAUAACACAAUUCAAAAAAGGCCCAACCCAACUAUGUCUUAUUUUACCAAAACUCCAAACUACUCAUAUAUAUAUAUAUAUAUAUAUAUAUAUAUAUAUAUAUAUAUAUAUAUAUAUAUAUUUCUUAUUAAUAUUAUAUAAUAUAUUAAUAUUAAAAAAAUAUAUAAAUUAUAAUAUAUUUUAAUUAUAUAUAGGCUGAGUGAAUAAUCUGAGUUUAAUUAAAAUUGGGCCAAUAUUGCGCAUAAAGACAAACCUAAUAGAAAAUAUAAAUAGCAAAAUUUUAUGAAAUUUAUAUAUUUUUUCUUUCUUUUUCUUUUCUUUCACAGAGCUCUAAAUUUUCAAUAUGUUUCUCUUUUCUCUUUUUCUGUCUCUCAUCCUAAGUGCCAAGCCGGAAGCCCUCUAAGUUACAAGUAAAUCAUAUGCCCGCCGUGUGUGUUACCUUGCUAUUAAUUAUAUGCUUGAGAAAAUAUACAAAAUUUUUUAAAAUAAAAAUAUUAUUACUAAAAUAGUUAAUUUUAGUAUUAUAUGAUUGGAUAAUUUAAUCCAAUAUUUAUCUAUAUAAUUUAUAUUAUUUUUGAUGCGCAUAAAUGAAAAUGAAUAAUAUAAGAGAUUGAAGGCGCGAAAAAAAGACAUGUGAGGCUAAAAAUUAGAUAUUUAACUCAUAAAUUAUUUUUUCAUAUUAUAAUACUAUAUUUUAUAUAAUAUAUUUUGUACUGUUGAACUAUUAACAUAUUUUUGUAUCAAAUUAUAAGAUAACGUUCUAUACAAAUUAAACUAUUGUCGUAUAAUGUAGAAUUCAAGCGACUCGUUUAGGGGUCGAGUCGCUCGACUUGAAAUUAGGUCUCGCUGCUCGGCUCGAAUUAAUUUCAAUCCAAACUUGAGUUUAAAUUUAGGCUCGAAAUUAAUUUCAAGCCGAAUUGAGCGAGGAAGCUCGUUUCCACCCUACUCUUUCCUGCUUCUCUCUCUACAAAACCAUGCACCCUGCAAACAAACCGCAAAAUCCGGGAUCACAAAUCCACAUCAUUCAGUUCGAUAUUUCCAAAAAUUCUUGCACCGCCUCAAGAGAGCUUGUGCAAAUUUAUUUAGAUUUGGGCUCUUUGGAGCUCUAUAAAUAGUAGAUACAAGGUAGCCAGAGGAAAAGGGGAUCGCACAGGACAGGGCGGAGGAGAUCGGGCAUUGCACGGACGAGGAUCGCUCGGCCGUGAAAAAGGCUGCAAGAGAGGGUUUCUACAUCACAACAGUCCACAGUUUCUUACAAAAAAAGAAAAAAAGAAAAAAACAAUGAGAGAUAGAGAAUGAAGAGAAUGUAGGAGUAAGUAAGAAAGUAUCGAAAAGCAAAAGAUUCAAAAAAAAAAAAAGAACACUAAUCUAUAUAUAUAUAUAUAUAUAUAUAUAUAAAUAAAUUUUUUUUUUAAAAAAAAGAAGAAGAACUGUUAUCCUCUUCCCUUCCCUGUCCGUCGCCGCUGCCACCAAUAUCACCCCGCCGUCGCCGAUCGGAGCUGCCACUACCACGUCCGCCGCCGACGCAGGCCGAGCCGCGUCCCACCGCCAUCGCCACCCAAGCCGCUAAGCCCGAGCCAAACUCCGGCGCCGUCCGCUGCCGCGCCCACCGCCCAAGUCGCCCAACGCCGCUGCUCAACUCGCUAUCACCGCCUGCCGUCGACAUCGCCCAACGCCGCUGCCGUACCUGCUGCCGUUGCCCAAGCCGAAGCUGGAACACAAACCCCCACUGGAACACAACCGCCCAACGCCGCUGCCGUACUAGCAUUAUAAUGUACUCAAUAUAAUAUAUAUAAUUUUUUUUAUGUCUCGUACUUUGAAUCAAGGGUUAAUUUUAUAGGUGCCCUCACCCCAACUCCUAAUUACAUGGAUACCUUUCAAAAAUUAUUAAUAUCAAAAAUAUCUUUCAAAUUUAGUAAAAUUAUCUAAACUAUCCUUAUUACCUAUAUUUAAAAAAAAAUAUGACUAAAAUACCCAUUUUACCCCUCUUACUCUUACAACAAUUAUAAUAUAUAUUUUAUUACCAAGAUAAUAUAUUUUUACUAUAAGUAUUUUUCUAGUUUAAUUUAAUUAAUUUAAUAUGUCUUCAUUUUAACUAGUUUAAUAUGUCUAUAUUUUAUUUCAUUUAACUAGUAUAUAUUCAUUUUAUUUGUUUAAUUACAAAUGGAAUAAUUAGAUACUUUUUGUUAGAUUUAUUUUAAGAUUUUUAUAUUGUUUUAGAUGUAGUUUGAAAAUUCUUUAUUGUAGCUUUAAUUUAUAUUACUAUGAGUUUUUUUUCAUAUUUGUCUUUUUAUAGUUUACUUUGAUUAUUUUUUAAAUCUUUAUAUUAUGUUAUAUAUAGUUUGAUAGUUUUCUAUUUUAUCUUUGAAAAUUUUUUUUGAUAGUUUUCUAUUUUAAAUGAAAAAAUAAUUAAAAUAAUCAAAGUAAACUAUAAAAAGACAAAUAUGAAAAAAAACUCAUAGUCAUAAUUUUUUUGAAAAAAUAAUCAAAUUAAACUGUAAAUAAAAAACAAAUUAAAUUAAACUAAAAAAUACUUAUAAAAAAAUAUGUAUUAUAAUUGUUGUAAGAGUGAGAGGGGUAAAACUGGUAUUUUGGCCAUAUUUUUUCUGAAAUUCAAAUAACAUGGAUAGUUUUGAUAAUUUUACUAAAUUUGGAGGGUAAUUUUGAUAUUAAUAAUUUUUGAAGGGUAUCCAUGUAAUUAGAGGUUGGUGAGAGGGUACCUAUGAAAUUAACCCUUAAAUCAAAAACAAAAAAAAGGGGUCUCAUUUGCAGUUAAUUUUUUUUUAUUGUUAUUAGUAUAAUUAUUUUGAGUUUACUUCCUGAUCUUUCUUCUUUUCUUUUUUUUUUUACAAGAAAUUGAUUUUGUGGGGAUUUCAAAAUCAUUCAUGGAAGCCUUAUUUUUUUUUAUGGACAUAAUUAAUCGAGGAUUGGGAACUGUUUUAUGUGCGUAUUUGUUUAUCUUUUUUUCGAAUCAAAAAAACACUAUCAAACCCUCAUAAAUAUUGUGCAUCAUAUUUAAUACGGCUUGAAUAAAAAUCUUUCACUUUAAAUAUUAUAAAAUUUUAAUCUUGCUGCAUCUAUUAUAGCCUUCACAUGUAAUAUAUUUAUAUAUGCAUAAAUAUAUAUAUUAAAUAAAGGUGUAUGACGAUCGUCCAAUUGGCAUCUAUUAUCACUAUUUAAUAAAAAAAAAAAAGAAAACAAGGUAAUUAUAUAAAUUAAGAAAGAUAUUUUUUCUUUAUGACCAGCUUAAUCAGAGAUGGCCCGUAUGUAAUAAAAAGGGCAUAAUUAACCGGGUACCUAAGGGUACUCGGGAAGCAUGAAUCUUUUUAUCUCUGAUGACCGUUAUCUAUUGUACUAUAUAUUUUUUACUCACUGUUAAAAAAUAUAUAGUCCAAAAAAAAUACAAAAUAAAAAAAAAGGGGAUAAAAAAAUUGCACCCCCUAACAAAUUUCCACUUCCACACCUCUUCUUUAUUUAUUUAAAUCUUUUCGUUUUUUCCGUUGUUCAUUUUUCGGAAAAACAGGCGGUAAAGGUGGCGACGACAACGAUGACGAUCCGCUCGAUGCUUCACCGUUGGCGGUAAAAGCGACGACAACGACGACAAUGAACAGCUUGACGCUUCAUCGUCGGCGGUGGAGAAAGCGGUGACGACAAGAUGGCAACGAGCUGUGGAGAAAGGCAGUGACGACAACGACGACGACGAUCCGCUUGACGCUUUGCCGUCAGCGGUAAAGGUGGCGACGACAACGACAACGAUCCGCUUGACGCUUUGCCGUCGGCGGUAAAGGCGACGGCAACAAUGACGACAAUCCGGUUGACGCUUCGCCAUUGGCGAUGGAGAAAGACGGUGACAACAACGACGGCGACGAGCCGUGGAAAAAGGCAGCGACGACAACGACAGCGACGAUCCGUUUGAUGCUUCACUAUCGGCGGUAAAGGUGGCGACGACAACGACGACGAUUCGCUUGACAUUUCGCUAUCGGCGGUAAAAGCAACGACAACGACGACGACAAUCCGCUUGACGCUUCGCCAUCAGCGGUGACGACAACGACAGCAAGGAGCGGUGGAGAAAGGUGGUGACAAUAAUGACGGCGACGAUCCGCUUAACGCCGAUGUACAAGAAUAGUAUUAAUUUUUGUACAACAACGGCAACGACGGCGACAAUCGCUUUUUUUUCUUUUUUAGUUGUAUUAAUUUUUGUACACCGAUAUACAAGAAUAUUAAAAAAAAAAAGUACAUUCUAUUUUGCUAAUUAUUAUAAUUGACCAGCUUAAUCGGAAGUUGUCUAAAUCCAAAUAGGCGUAAUUAAUUAAAAAUCUUUAUGAUUCCUAAAGAGUAUGGAACUUUUAAUAUUCUAAUCCCCUCGUCUCAUAUGACGCUUUUAAAUUUUUAAUACUCACACGACGAGCAAAUGAAAGAGAGGGAGAGAAAGUAAUUAGAAUAGGAUCUUACUGAUAUAAUUUUGUGAACCAGCAAAUAUGCCUAAUAACCCCAACAAUAUUUACAUAUAAUUUAAGUACACAAUAUAUAUUAUUAGAGUAAGGCUGGGAUACUAUCGACAGCACCAAGUGUUUGGUGCUAUCGAAUUUUUCACCGUUAGAUUUAAUCUUUUGGUUAUUUUUAUCCGUUAAAUUACACUAUUCAACUAACUAUCCACUCAACCCUAAGGGACCCACAUCAUCCUAACCGCAUAUUUCUCAAUCCAAAGGCUAAAAAAUUAAUAGCAACAAUAGCUUGGUGCUAUUGAUAGUACUCCAGCCAGCCUAGUUCUAUAUUAUUAUACAUAAUUAAAAUAUAUAUUAUAUAUAUUUAUAAAUGUUUUAUAUAUAUAUAUAUAUAUAGAGAGAGAGAGAGAGAGAGAGAGAGAGAGAGGACGACGAUGGAGAGUCCGGUUAUAAUGCUAUCGAUGGCACUUUAAAACCUUGGUGCUAUCAAAGUUUUCUGCCGUUAAUAUCAAUCUCUUUGACAAUUAUUUAUCUGUAAAUCAUAUCAUAUAUUCAACCAACACCACUCAACCCUAGAAGAUCACUAUCAUCAUAACCGUACACGCUUCAUCCAAGGCUGAAACUUAAUAACUAAUGACUUAGAAUGCUAUUAAUAGUAUUUAACCUAGGUUAUAUAUAUGAGCUUUCAAGUCUAAUUCGAGCGAAGCAGUAAUAUUCAAGCUCGGCUUGAAAUAAAAAUUCUAGUUUUUUUUUUUCCUAUUUAAAUUCGACUUAUUUAAUUUCGAGUCGAGGUUGACGGAAUCAUUGUAUGUGAUGUUGGCUCAUUUGGCAGCCUAUGCGGGACAUCACUAAUGUGAUGUUGGCUCAUUUGCCAGCCUAUAUAGAUAUCAUUAUCUGUGAUAGUCUGAUGGCACUGGAUCCAUUUAACCAUCUUCUUUACUCCAUUAAAAUAUCAUCCGCGUGAACUCGCGUGCUAAAUAUCAUAAUUAUCUUUACUUUCUUCGUAAUCAUUAACAUAUCAUUCGCAUGUUUCAGAGGGGAUUAUUAUUAGGUAAAAAUAAAUUAACAUAGUAUGCAGUUUGGCAUAUUGCAUAAAAAAUUUAGAUAACAAUUAGAACCGGCCGACAAUCCAGCUCGUUGCUUGCAGUUAUCUUCAUAUUCGGCUCAAAACGAGAUUCAGUAUAUUACUGAUUAAUAAAUAAGCUGAACACACGCUGAAUUUUUAGCUCGUAAUCUAACGAGCUGAACUGAAUUGAGAUUGGCUCGUUGCGUUCGCUUGAGAUCGGAUAUAUAUAUAUAAGUUUUAUUAUAAUUUUGAUAAAUUACAAAAGCUAUUUUUUAUAGUUUUAAAUGUUUUAUAUCAUAUUUAAUGGUAUGAAUCACAAUUCGAAAUCUGGCAUUAUUAAAAAUAAUUUAUAAGUCCCGCGCGCUCUAUACUCAUAAGAGUAUAAUAGCUCUCUCUCUUCUAUAUAUAUAUAUAUAAGAGAGAGAGAGAGAGAGAGAGAGAAGAGAGAGAAGAGAGAGAGAAGGGAGAGAGAGAGAGCAUGGGCUGGAAUACUAUUAAUAGUAAAAGAUUCUUUUACUAUCAGUUUUUAGCUCUUGAUGAUAAAUUGUAGGGUUGAAUGAUAUUAGUCCCUUAGCCACCGUUUGGUUGGGGGUUAAGAGGUGGAAUACCCCUUAACCCCAAUUUAUACCCAAACCCACUCUUGGGGUGGGGUUAGUAAACCCCACCCCAAACCGGGUUAGUGGGGUUUACUAACCCCACUCCCCCUCCCAACUUUAACCCCGCACGUAUCCCGAGCCCUCACCUUUUUCUUCUUUAUCAAUCAUUAACCCCACUCCCCCUCCCAACUUUAAUCCCGCACGCAUUCCGAGCUCUCACUUUUUUCUUCUUUAUCAAUCAUUAUCUUUUUAUCCCACCUACUCCAACCAAACACUUUUUUUCACUAUCCUAGACUAACUCCAACCUCCAACCAAACACAAAAAAAUUUUAACACCAUUUUAACCCUGAACUUAACCCUAUCCCUGAAAUAGCUACUUUUUCUUAACCCCGAACCAAACGGGGGCUUAGCGUUGAAUGGCUCCCUUAGGGUUGAGCGGUUCUCACUGGGUUAUAAUAUUUAAUUCAAUGGUUAAAAAUGAUGAAAAAAAUUGAUAUAAAGACUAAAAACUUGAUAGCAAAAAGGACCUUUUGCUAUCAAUAGUAUCCUAGCCUAACUCUAUAUAUAUAUAUAUAUAUAUAUAUAUAUAUAUAUAUAUAUAUAAAGUUGAGCUGGAAUACUAUUGAUAGCAAACGGCUCCGUUGCCACCCAUUGACGAUAGGCACCGUUGAACAUGAUCUAUACCACUUAAAGUGUUUAGAAAUCAAAUUUCAUACAUUUUCAAUAUUGUUCUCUUAUCCAUCGAGUGGACACAUAAAUGAACGGCUGAAAAUGAAUAUUCUUUAAAAAAUAAUGAUAGGAGUCUUGUAAUCAAGAUCAAGAGUAUAAAUCUUGUUUUAAAUAGUUUAAAGAAUUUUCUAACAAAAAUUUAAUUGAUUUGAAUAUCUUUACACCGUUAAACGAGAAAACGCCUCAUAUCGACUAUUAAAAUUACAAAAUUUGAAACCCUUUGAUCAUUAGACAAAUGAUGUCGAAAUGAUUUGAAAUUUGAUUUCUAAACACUUCAAGUGGUAUAGAUCAUGUUCAGCAGUGCCGAUCGUCGAUUUGGAGAUUCUAUCAUUGAAAACAAGUGGGUGGCAGCGGAGCCCGUUUGCUAUCGAUAGUAUUCUAGCUCAACUAUAUAUAUAUAUAUAUAUAUAUAUAUAUAUAGAGAGAGAGAGAGAGAGAGAGAGAGAGAGAGAGAGUUGGACUGGGCUACUAUUAGUAGCAAAAUCCCAUUGUUGCUACCAGUUUCUUAGCCUUUGGAUCAACUCUUUUCAUUAUUUCUAACCAUUGGAUUAAAUACUAUAACCCAGUGGGGACCACUCAACCCUAGGGGGACCACUCAACUCUAACCGACUAAUAUCAUCUUGACCCUAUAAUUUUCAUCCAAGGGUUAAAAACAUGAUAGCAAAUGAGCGUUUUACUAUUUAGUAUUGCCAGCCUAAUUCUAUAUAUAUAUAUAUAUAUAUAUUAUAUAUUAUAUAUAGAGUAGGGCUGCUAUGCUCUGAGGAGCACGGAGUCUCCGUGCUCCUGAGCGUUUUUUAUGAUGGAAUUUUCGAAUCGAUGAUCGGCUCCGUUAGACUUGAUCUAGCGCAUUUGAAGUUUCUAGAAAAUAAUUUUUGCGAUUUUUCGAUAUCAUUUAUCUAGUAACCAAAAGGAUUCAAAAUCCAUAAUUUUUAAUGGUUGAUACCUGCCGUUUUCAAGUUUAAAGGUGUAAAAGUAUUCAAAUCAGAUGAAAUUUUGAUACAAAAUUCUUUAUACUAUCUACAACAAGAUCAAUACUUCUGAUCGAAAAUUUUAGUGCUAUAUCACCACUUUUUAUAGGAUUUUUAUUUUCAGCCGUUAAAAAUUAUCGAUUUUGAAUCCUUUCGAUUACUAGGUAAAUAAUAUCGAAAAUCGCAAAAAUUAUUUUCUAGAAACUUUAAAUACGCUAGAUCAAGUUUAACGGAGCCGAUCGUCGAUUUGGAAGCUCCAUCAUCGAAAACAACUCAGGAGCACAGAGGCCUCCGUGCUCCUGAGAGCACAGCAACCCUGCUAUAUAUAUAUAUAUAUAUAUAUAUAUAUAUAUAUAUAUAUAUAUAUAUAUAUAUAAAAGCAUGCAAAUGGGCUCAUUGUCUAAACUUUUCUAUUAUUAGAAUAAUUAAGGCUAAAUUACAGAAAACCCCCUUAUAAUAACCCGCUUUUUUACUUUCCCCCCCUGACAUUUAAAAACCUACACUUUGGCCCCCUGUAAAAUGAAAAAUGUUCACAGGAGGGUUACAGUGUGUAAAAUGACCAUUUUGUCCCUCGCCAUUGUCGUCUUCUUCCCCAUCUUCCUCAGCCGCCCUCUCGUUCGGUCACGAUUCCCACCUCAAUCGGUCGCGAUUUCUCUUCAUUUCCUUCUCCACCUGCUCCCCUUCUCCUCCUGCACCCUCGCCGCCCUCGAUUUCGGCGACAGUAGGAGAAAACCGAGGUGGGUGAAAGUAGGAGAAGGGCAAAGAAGGCGAAGGCGAGGCGGCGGAGGACGGCGAAGGGGAUGUGGGUGAGGGCGAGGCAGUGGAGGACGGCGAGGCGGCUAGGCGGCGAGGCGGUGAGGCGGCGGCGAGGCGGCGAGCCGGAGGGAGGCGAAGCAAUAGGGAGAUGGCGGAGGGGUAUUUUCGGCAUAAAAAUAUAUUUUUUAACGGAACCCUAACGGUAGGGGGUGAAGUGCACAUUUUUUAUUUUACAAGCGGGCAAAGUGUAGGUUUUUAAAUGUUAGGAAGGGAAAGUGAAAAAGCGAGUUAUUACAAGGGGGUUUUCUGUAAUUUAG